GAUUACAAACGCAGACUAUGAUCAAUAGUAAAUGUCACCCUUUCAUUUACUUAGUCGCACCGCUUGAAAACGCGGGAUAAACUUUUUUACUUUUUCUUUUUGAGCAAGGAUAAAAACUUUACUUGGCCGCAACGUGAACCAGCACGCUUCUGGCCUACACGCAAACUAGCUAUAUGGACUCUGCGGGCUAGAUCGAACCGAGAUUACAAAUUACCUUACUGAAACCUAAACAAACCAACUUGACAGAAACAAACUUAACUUUCAUCAUGGCGGGCUAACGUUGAUCGAAAUCGCCGUGCAGCAUGAUGAGCGGCUGCCUUCACUUGUUUUCGGGUUUCUUCUUAGGCAGCAGGUUCUGAUUCUUCGAUGUUGUAGGUUUUGCCUUAGCCGUCUUGUUCUUGUUAACCUUUGCCUUCGUGUUAACCUUUGGCUUUUGAGAGGCGUCCUUUGCGACUUCAUCGCCCUUGGCCAUGACGUGGUCUGCUGCUCUUCCUAUCCGAUGUGUCUGGCAGAGGUGAGGUGGAUGUGGUGUUUGCUUUGCUCCGGUUGGGUUGGAGAAACCUGCAACAAUGGUAACAUAUAUAUAGGCCGGACGAAUCCCUUCCAUUAGGGAAGAAGGGGUUGGUGGCAUUGCUAGUGCCAGUCAGUCUUUGCUGUUUUGUAUAUCUCACAUAUUGUUAUUGACGGAUGAAUGGCCAUGCUGGCUGCUGCGGUUGGUCCUCAUUUGUUUUCCUCCUCCUCCUCCUUAUAUUACACUUUUGCUUCGGUACCAAAGCACGCCUCAUUGUAUUAUUGGACGCGUCUAGCAAGCAGCCAUGUGUUCGUUAGCGCUCGGCAGCCGGUCGUAUUAGGAAAAUUAGUGUUUCAUGUUCUGAUUAGAAAAGUCCACAUUCUCCGUCUCUUCACCCAGUCCACAUGCGAGACAAAAAUCAAAAGAAUCAUCCAGCUUAUGCGAUUUCUUUUCUCUCAUUCACGCUGGCCUCACUUAUUUCCCAUGUUCUUUGCAUUAGUAAAGCAAAAAGGCAAUCAAUGCAUUUCAAAAAAUUCAAAAAGAUAUAACUUUCAAACCACAUGCCAAAAUUAAGAUCCGUUUUCAUCAAUGAAAACCUCGCGGUGAGAACUUUCAAACUAGUCCCCAUUUAUAUAUUUUUUAUGAACAUUUUUCACCGCCAAGUGAUUCUACUACAUGAUGCAACUUUUAUACCAUGGGGUGUAACUUUUUUUAAACCAACUUUUGUGAUACCACGACCAACUAUAAUAUUACAUGGAUGCAAUUUUAGUGCUACAUGAAUCAACAUUACCAAAAGAGCAACUUCAUAUGUGGUCCCAUCCAUGUGCCUAGCACACGAUGUGCAACUUCAUGUGCUACUCGGCCAACUGUCUACCUUGUGGAUGUGCAUUUUUCAUCUCCCAAAUUAUCAUGUCAGUGAGAUAUGCAACUUCAUUUGGUGUUCGCGCCAACUGAUUAACAAACGAUGUGCAACUUUAUCUAAUGCCCCUCCACCUACCUAGCAGACGAUGAGCAACUCGAUCUUCUCCCCGCCAAAUGCCUUGUAUUCGACAUGCAACUACUUCCUUACCACGUGGAUGUGCCUUCUUCACCACUUCUAUACUUGUCAGUGCGAUGUGCAACUUUAUAUGCUAUUUGUGCCAAUUGACUAACCAAUGAUAUGCAAACUUCACUUAUUGUCCAUGCCAACCAACUAACAACCGGUGUGCAAAUCUCAUAGCUUGUGCAUGAUCAACUAUGCUGACAAGAGUGUGCAACUCCGCGGCCGCGCAUGUGCACCUUAUGGAUAUAUUUUGAUGAAAUUUUAUGUGUGCAAUUUAGUCCCCAUUUUGUGCAAGUGUAUAGCGGUCAAUGUCCAACUUUGUGGUCAUGCGUGCGAGGAUGUGAACGAUAAAAUGGUCAUGUGUAAGCUACUACACUGAUAAGAUUGUGCAACUCCGUAGUCCAAAGAGAAUGUGCAGCUCCUAGUCCAAACUAGCCCUUAUCGAUAUAGUUAGUACGGAAUAUAUCUCGCCAUGGGCAGCCCGGCCCGACUCGACCCGACCUUGCCCACAGGCCAAACUCGGGCCUGAUAAUCAAGCCCGGUGGCCGGGCCGGACCGGGCUCGGGCCCGUGAAAAUCUCCGUUUACGCCUGCGUCGGGCCGGGCUUUUUCGGGCUCGGGCCAGGCCUGGGCCCAAAAAAUAGGCCCGAUGGUCGGGCCGGGCCGGGCUCGGGCCUAGGUUUUAUACCAGGGUUUUUUUAGGCCCGGCCCGGCCCGAGAUAUGGCCAGGUAGAGUAUGGACUGAUGCAAAGAUCGGGGGAUUCGUUCCUCCUUUAAAAAAAACCCUGCAGCUAUAGGGCUUCAAAUCUGCGAGUCCCAGCACUCCUAUGGUCAUCAAACUGUCACCACAACCGCCACCGAUCAGCCACGGAUGCUUUGAUUCGAAAUGUCUGAUCAUGCUCCUUAUAUGAUGGGAAACGCUUUCAUCCGAUGCGCCGGCCGAAUCGUUCGGCUGGUUACGCGCGGGCAGCGCGCCUCGCUGGUUAGAGGUAUGCAACAUUUUUUCGUCAGAUUUGCUGUAACCAUGCGUAAAUUUGAUACAAAUGUUUUCUAUUAUGCUAUAACUUGUCCAUUCAAAAAGCUACAUCCACAUUUGGUUGCAACUCGAGUUCGUUGGAUUUUUUUGCUACAACCGUGUUAAUUUUUGCUACAACCGGCAUCAUUUUUUGCUGCAACCGUUCACUAAAAAAGUUGCAUACGCGUUCGUCAGAGUUGCAACCCGAGUUCAUCGGAUAGUUUUGCUACAACCCUUAUUUUAUUUUGCUACUACGCAUCAUCAGCUUCGUUUUUUUGCUACGAUCACGUAGAUAUUUUUCUUGCUACAACUAUAUUUUUGUUGCAAUCGUUGGCUAAAAUUGCUGCAUCAUGGAUAAAAUUUGUUGCAUCGAAGAAAAAUUGCUGCAUGGAUAGAUCUAAGAGUGCGCCCCGCUGAUCUGACGGUCGCGCUGCGACCUUGCUCCGGCACUCCGACGCCCAGUACCGGCCUUAUAUGAUACCGGAGGGAUUGAAGGAAAACCGCAACGACCGUAGAUCAUUCCCAACUAUUGCCUUUUAUUAAGUCAUCCAACAGCAAUCUGCGAUAUAUAACUCGACAACUCAAGUAAAAAAUGAACUAACUUUUGGCCUCAACGUGAACAUGCAGGCCACUACUCCCUCUCUUGUACAUGAGGAAAACUAAUACAAGUUCCCCUUAUUACAAGUAUUUCGAUACAAAGGGAAUAACUAUGGACUCCAAGCGCUUGAUCUAAGCGAGUUUAGAAGGGGGGGGGGGGGUUUUGUGAAGAAGCGAGUUUAUAAGUUUAUGUACUGCAGCAAAAGUUCGUGUGACAGAAACACACUUAAUAAACUACAUUUUGACUGGACGGUAUCAAUCUCAGUGCAGCUGCACAUGCAGCUGCUCUUAACCUUUUUAGGGCUACAGGCCUCUUAAACAACCUUUGAUUCAUCUUAGAAGACUGUAGGCAUCGCCUGAUUCAUCUUAGAAGACUGUUGCUUUGGGUUAGACGGCCCAAACACCGCCUGCUGUGUCUUUGACAACGACCGCUUCGCCAUCUUAGAAGUCAUCUUCAUGCAGCUACUGCAUACCAUGGCGCGAUAUCUUUCCUCUUCUUCUUCUAUUUUGACCAAGCGAUCUGAGGUGACCUAGAUGCAGUGUUUACUUUGUUUCAGGUUGGGUUGAAGAAACCUGCCGCAACGGCAUAAAAAAUGGUUGUAAUAGGCCAAAACUGCGAGUUUCAACGAGUUCCCCGUAACUGAACCCCGAAGUGCCGGAAACGCUCGGAUCACAGCGGGACUCAAAAUCAGUGACUAAUAACAUACAAAACUGGUUGGAAUAGGCCAAAACUUCGAGUUUUCAUGAGUUCCAUCUAACCGGAGCCCGGGUUUUCCCGAAACGUUGGGAUCGCAGCGGGACAUAAAAUCUGAGUAAUAACAUACAAAACUGGCCGAAAAAGACCAAAAGUGCGAGUUUUGACGAAUUCCCCAUAACCGGACCCCGGGGUUCCCGAAACGUUCGGAUCGCAACGGGAACAAAAAUCAGUCAGUAAUAGCAUACAAAACUCAUCAGAAUAGGCCAAAACUGCGUGUUUUGACGAGUUCCAUGUAACCGGAUCCAGGGUUCCCGAAAUGUUCGGAUCACAGCGGGAUCCAAAAUCAGUGAGUAAUAGCAUACAAAACUGGCCACAAUAGGCCAAAACUGCGAUUUUUACGAGUUCCCCGUAACCGGACCACGGGGUUCCCGAAAUGUUCGGAUCACAGUGGGACCUAAAAUCAGUGACUAAUAGCAUACAAAACUGGCCGGAAUAGGCCAAAACUGUGAGUUUUCACGAGUUCCACGUAACCGGAACCCGGGGUCCUCAAAUGUUCGGAUCGCAGCGGGACCCAUAAUCAGUGAGUAGUACCAUACAGAACUGGUCACAAUAGGUCAAAACUGCGAGUUUCGACGAGUUCCCCGUAACCAGACCCCGAGGUUUCGAAAACGUUCAGAUCACAACGGGACCCAAAAUCAGUGACUAACUGCAUAUAAAACUGGCCGGAAUAUGACAAAACUGCGAGUUUUCACGAGUUCUGUGUAACCGGACCCUGGGUUCCCGAAACGUUCGGAUCACAGCGGGACCCAAAAUCAGUGAGUAAUAGUAUACAAAACUGGCCGAAAUAAACCAAAACUGCGAGUUUUGAUGAGUUCCCCAUAACCGAAACCCUGGAUUCCCGAAACGUUCAGAUCGUAGCGGGAACGAAAAUCAGUGAGUAAGCAUACGAAACUCGUCAAAAUAGGCAAAAAAUGUGUGUUUUGAAGAGUUCCAUGUAACCGGACACAGCGGUUCCCGAAACGAUCGGAUCACAGCGUGAUCCAAAAUCAAUGAGUAAUAGCAUACAAAACCGGCCACAAUAGACCAAAACUGUGAGUUUCGACGAGUUCCGCAUAACCGGACCCAGAGGUUCCGGAAACGUACGGAUCACAGCGGGACCCAAAAUCAAUGACUACUAGCAUACAAAACUGGCCGGAAUAGGCCAAAAUUGCGAGUUUUGACGAGUUCCCCGUAACCGGACCAAGGGUUCCCGAAACAUCCGGAUCACAUCGGGACCCAACAUUAGUGACUUGCAUACAAAACUAGCCGGAAUAGACAAAAACUACGAGUUUUGACGAGUUCGCCGUAACCGGACCAAGGGUUCCCGAAACAUUGGGAUCACACCAGGACCCAAAAUCAGUGACUAAUAGCAUAGAAAACUGGUCGUAAUAGGCCAAAAUUGCGAGUUUCAACUAGUUCCCCGUAACCGGACCCCGAGGUUCCGGAAACGUUCAGAUCACAGCGGGGCCCGAAAUAGCAUACAAAACUCGCCAGAAUAGGCCGAAGCUGCGUGUUUUGAUGAGUUUAAUGUAACCGGACCGAGGGGUUCCCGAAACGUUCGGAUCACAGCGUGACCCAAAAUCAGUGAGUAAUAGCAUACAAAACCGGCCACAAUAGGCCAAAAGUGCGAUUUUUGACGAGUUCUCCGUAACCGGACCCCGAGGUUCCGAAAACGUUCGGAUCACAGCGGGACCCAAAAUCAAUGACUAAUAGCAUACAAAACUGGCCGGAAUAGGCCAAAACAGCGAGUUUUCACAAGUUCCAUGUAACCGGAGCUCGGGGUUCCCGAAAUGUUCAGAUCGCAGCGGGACCCAAAAUCAGUGAGUAAUAGCAUACAAAACAGGCCGAAAUAGACCAAAACUGCGAGUUUUGACGAGUUCCCCAUAACUGGACCCUGGGGUUCCCGGAACGUUCGGAUCGCAGCGGGAACCCAAAUCAGUGAGUAAUAGCAUACAAAACUUCGAGUUUAGGACAAAACUGCGGGUUUUGACAAGUUCCCAAAACAAGACCCCGGGGUUCCCGAAACGUUCAAAUCGCAUCGGGACCCAAAAUCAAUGACUAAUAGCAUACAAAACUAGCCGGAAUAGGCCCGAAUAGGCCAAAACUGCGAGUUUCGACGAGUUCCCCAUACCCGGACCCCGAGGUUCCGGAAACGUUCGGAUCACAGCGGGACCCAAAAUCAAUGACUACUUGCAUACAAAACUGGCCGGAAUAGGCCAAAACUAUUAGUUUUGACGAGUUCCGUAACCGGACCAAGGGUUCCCGAAACAUUCGGAUUACAUCGGGACCCAACAUUAGUGACUUGCAUACAAAACUGGCUGGAAUAAGCUAAAACUAUGAGUUUUGACGAGUCCCCCGUAACCGGACCCAGGGUUCCCGAAACAUUCGGAUCACAGCGGGACCCAAAAUGAGUGACUAAUAGCAUAGAAUACUGGUCGUAGUAGUCCAAAACUGCGAGUUUCAACUAGUUCCCCGUAACCGGACCCCGAGGUUCCGAAAACGUUUGGAUCAUAGCGGGGCCCAAAUCAGUGACUAAUAGCAUACAAAACUGGUCGGAAUAGGCCAAAACUUUGAGCUUUCAUGAGUUCCAUGUAACCGGAGCCCGGGGUUCCCGAAACGUUGGGAUCGCAGCGGGACCCAAAACCAGUGAAUAAUAGUAUACAAAACUGUCCGAAAUAGACCAAAAGUGCGAGUUUGACGAGUUCCCCAUAACCGGACCCCGGGGUUCCUGAAAUCUUUGGAUCGCAGCGGGAACCAAAAUCAGUCAGUAAUAGCGUACAGAACUCGCCAGAAUAGGCCGAAACUGCGUGUUUUGACGAGUUCCAUGUAACCGGACCCAGGGGUUCCCGAAACGUUCGAAUCACAGCGUGACCCAAAAUCUUUGAGUAAUAGCAUACAAAACCGGCCACAAUAGGCCAAAACUGUGAUUUUUGACGAGUUCCCCGUAACCGGACCUCGAGGUUCCGGAAACGUUCGGAUCAUAGUGGGACCCAAAAUCAAUGACUAAUUGCAUACAAAACUGGCGGGAAUAGGCCAAAACAGUGAGUUUUCACGAGUUCCAUGUAACCGGAGCCCGGGGUUCCCGAAACGUUCGGAUCGCAGCGGGACGCAAAAUCAGUGAGUAAUAGCAUACAAAACUGGCCGAAAUAGACCAAAACUGCGAGCUUUGACGAGUUCCCCAUAACGGGACCCCGGGGUUCCCGGAACGUUCGAAUCGUAGCGGGAACCAAAAUCGGUGACUAAUUCCAUACAAAACAGACCGGAAUAAGCCAAAACUGCGGGUUUUCACGAGUUUCGUGUAACCGGACCCCGGGGUUCCCGAAACGUUCGGAUCGCAGCGGGACCCAAAAUAAAUGAGUAAUAGCAUACAAAACUGGACGAAAUAGACCAAAACUGCGAGUUUUGACGAGUUCCUUAUAAUCGGACCCCUGGAUUCCCGAAACAUUCGGAUUGCAGCGGGAACCAAAAUCAGUGAGUAAUAGCAUACAAAAUUCGCUAGAAUAGGCCAAAACUUUGCGUUUUGAAGAGUUCCAUCUAACCGGACCCAGGGGUUCCUGAAACGUUCGGAUCACAGCGUGACCCAAAAUCAGUGAGUAGUGGCAUACAAAACCGGCCACGAUAAGCCAAAACUGCGAUUUUUGACGAGUUCUCCGUAACUGGACCCCGGGGUUCCGGAAACGUUCGGAUCAUAGCGGGACCCAAAAUCAAUGACUAAUAGCAUAGAAAACUUUCCAGAAUAGGCCAAAACAGCGAGUUUUCACGAGCUCCAUGUCACCGGAGCCCGGGGUUCCUGAAACGUUCGGAUCGCAGCGGGACACAAAAUCAGUGAGUAAUACCAUACAAAAUUGACCGAAAUAGACUAAAACUGCGAGUUUUGACGAGUUCUCCAUAACCGGACCCCGGGGUUCCCGGAACUUUCAGAUCGCAGCGGAAACCAAAAUCAGUGAGUAAUAGCAUACAAAACAGGUCGGAAUAGACCUAAACUACGGGUUUUGACAAGUUCCCCAUAACCGGACCCGUGUUUCCCGAAACGUUCAGAUCGCAUCGAAAAUCUAAAAUCAUUAACUAAUAGAAUACAAAAUUAUCCGGAAUAGGUCUGAAUAGGCCAAAAGUGUGAGUUUCGACGAGUUCGCCGAAAACCUGCCGCAACGGCAGCUUAUAUAAAGGAACAGAGUAUAUAGGAAAAAUGCUCCGGCUCGACGACGCGCUUCCUCCGCGUAGAAUGGCUUGGUGGCGUUGCCGGUUAGGAUCUUCUGUUCUGGGGAGUAUAUAAGUACUUAUAUAUCCAAUGUAUUUUUAUUGAUGGACGGAUGCGGUUGGGUCAGUGGUCGCGGUCGUUGCCGCGUUGGUCUGUUCAUACUCAUACUACUACGGAAGUUAGAAUUAGCAUUAGGUAAGAGAUCUUUUAUGGUACCCCGUGAUAAAAUUAGUCCGUUCAUUCAGGAAAAUCCAACGCUAGAGAUUGAUUUGUACUGCUUCAACGGGCCAGCAGUAUAUGCACUCCAGCCCGAGCAAAGUGGAGCAGUAUACGGAGAUUGAGGGCAGUUUGACAACAUCGUAAUAUUUCAACCCGCCUACCCGUUGACCUAACCCACGCCUACGCCGCGACGAUUCCGGCCGCUGCCGCCGCACGCCCGAUUGAUCUCCGUCUGCGAGCCCCCUCCUCUUCCUCCGCCAUUCUCAUGGAGAAGAGCGACUCCCGCAACUUAAAUGUGGCAUAGUGAGCAUUAAAGUUAAGAUGCAAAUUUAAUCAAAUAAUAAAAAUACUUAUUCAGAUGCAAUUUUAUACUAAAGUUAGUGAGCAUUAAACUCAGUCUCAAAAUAAGUGACUUAAAAGUGACUCAAUUUUAUACUAAAGUUAGUAUAAAGUUGAGUCAUUUUUAAGUCACUUAUUUUAGGAUGAAGGGAGUAGAUUAUUGCAACAUAAACUAAGCUACUUGACAGAAACACACUUGACUUCAUCAUGGCCGAAGACCCCGGUUCCCCACGGGGCAGGUCUCACCCUUUGUGAGGCUACCUCUUAUUUCCGAGCGGCACCCUCCUAUUCUUAGCCCGCACCUGGCUCUGAGGCGACACAGAUUUCGGGUGUGUACUGCCUGACGGCUUUGCACUGGCCUGUAGCACAGAUUUGGGCGGUAUACUGCCUGGCUUUGCACUGGCCUGUAGCACAGAUUUCGGAUGCGUACUGCUUGACUUUGCACUGGCCUGUAGCACAGAUUUGGGCUGUGUCGGGCCUGACGGCACAGAUGGUUUUCUGCUCAUGGCGCGAUCUGCUUCUCUUCUUCUUAUUAUCCUUCUUCUUGUCCAGCGAAGUGGCAGAGGUGAGGAGAAUGUGGUGCUCACUUGGCUACGGUUGGGUUGAGGAAGCAUGCGUCAAUGGUUGCAUAUAUAUAAAGGAGGGAGGGAGAAGGUCUGGGGAAAGCGCUCCGGCCGGACGACCCGAGGACCAUGGUUUGGUGGCGUUGUCAGUCUCUUUGGUUUUGUUUGAGGAGUAGAUAUGAAUAUUCAGUGCAUUUGUUAUUGAGGGAUGGGUAUGCGGUUGGGUCAGUGGUCGUGGGCUCCUGGCCGCUGCCGCGUUGGUCUUCAUUGGGGGGUCCUCCUUCUUAUAAUAUUACUAUAUCCGAAUAUAAGCGGCUGCUUGUUAGAGCAUCUCCUACCCGUUUCAAAUGUCCGCACAAAACAUCCGAUCAUGGACUGGUCAUGAAAUUUUGACCCACAUGAAUGUUUUAAAUGCUCGGGCUAAGCAACAUUCCUCAUAUUCAGUUUAAAUAUGAAACGGAUAUGAAGGCGUCCGGGCAAACCCGUGCUAACAGACCGUUCGGCCUCACGAUGGGGUUCCAUGAAAAUAAGCACACGCCACAUGGUUGCCACAUGUUUGUUAGUUGUUAGUCAUACCAGUCAUUCACCUGUGGACAUGCAUGUCCUAGCUAUUAUAAGGAUACAUAGUUAUUAAAAUAAUUAUGUUAAUUAAUAUGUAAACGUUUAGAUAUCAUACAACAGUACAUAUUCUUAAUUAGUUCUCAAACGAUGAUAAACCAAUAAACAUGCGUAUUAUGAGCUUUAUUGUUGGAUGGAGUGCAUCCAUAUUCCAACAUAUGUUGCACAAACCGCCAUCAUUGGUGAACUCUUCCGUUGAAAUUAUGCAUUAAAUUGAUACAUAUGGCAAGAUAAACAUCUUCCUCGUUACAAAAUAAUACAUAUAAAUUUGAUACACAUUGUGAUCCAAUAUAAAAGACAUCUCGGUAAAAGUUUGGAGAAAGGAAAACUACGCAUACCCACUGGUCAGAAUAUUUAAAGUGAGAGGCAUAAGCCAAAUGGUCUAGACUUUUACAAAGAUGGUAUUUUUUUCUUGCAUAAACAAAAUGAAGAGAAGAGGUACUAAUUGUUUUUUAACAUAAAAACAAUGAUAUGCUAAUGUAUCUAUGAUCAUGAAAUUAAAUAGUACAUUUUCUCGUAAUACUUGGUAAUUUCCUUUUUCCCAUAAAUUUAAAAUUUAUUGGGCCAUGAUAUAUUCAUGGAACAUGAUAUAGCUAAGGCAAGAAAUAUGAAAUUAGUUUUAUGCCUUUUUGAACAACUGUCUGACUAAAAAUAAAUUUUAAUAAUUAGAGUGAACUAUUCUGGUUUGGACGCGCCAAGGAAGAACACAAUAACUAUAGGCAGUUGUUCGCAUGUGAGUUGGGAUCAUUACCAUUUCGAUACUCGGGAAUCCCAAUACAUCACUGAAAAUUAUCUAACAAAGAGUGGAAAUGUAUCAAGGAUUGAUUCGAUAAGAAAUUGAGCUGCUGGAAGGGCAAGCUUUUAUCUUAUGGGGGAGGUUGAUCCUCAUUAAUUCGUAUUGACAAGUAUGGCGAUGUUCCUUAUUUCCUUCAUUGAGGUACCCAUACGGGAACGAAAAAGAUUGGAUUUCUAUCAAUCUCGUUUCUUUUGGCAAAGUGAUGAGAACAAAAUAAAAUAUAGAUUGGCUAAGUGGAACAUUAUUUGUAGACCGAAGGACCAUGGGGGCUUGGGAAUUGAAAACUUAGAAGUGGAAAAUAAGUGCCUACUAAGCAAAUGGUUGUACAAAUUGUCGGUUGAGCGGGAUGGUGUUUGGUUGCAGCUGUUGAGGAAUAAAUACUUGCACUCCAAAACUCUGGUUGAGGUGACGGCACGACCGUCUGAUUCUUCUUUUUGGAAGGGGCUAACGAGGACGGAGGUGUCCUUCUCUAAUAGGAGCAUGUUUAUAGUUGGCAACGGUCAUGGCACUGGAUUUUAUGAAGACAUUUGGUUGGGAGACACACCAUUAGCUUUGCAAUAUUCUUCAUUAUACAACAUUGUACAACGAAAAUAUGUUUUCGUUGCUAGAGUGUUAAGUGGUCCCUCUUAACAUUUAGUUCAGGGAUCGCCAGUGGGGGAUGCUGGAAUAGUUGGCUGCACCUAGUGCGUAGGUUAAUGGAGGUUAACCUUUCAGAUGCACCAGAUACCUUACAAUGGUAGCUGUCAAUGUCAGAUAUAUUCUCAAUUAAGUCAAUAUAUAUGGACUUGAUAAACACUAAACCUAUUCUGAAAUUGAUCCACAUUUAGAAUAUUAAGGUGCCAGUAAAAAGCAAGGUGUUUAUGUAGUUCAUGCAUAAUGGUGUAAUCCUCACGAAGGAUAAUUUGGCAAAGCGUAAGUAGGAGGUUAGUCAGAGAUAUUGUUUUUAUAAUCGUUUCACACUUAUUUGGAACAUGGUUAAUUAGUAUAGAGCCAAAGACUGCGGCACAUGUUUAAAUUGGAGUGUGUGCAUUACUUUGGGCCAUAUCAAAUUAUCGAAAUGACGUUGCCUUUAACAGACAAAACAUUAAAAAAAUGCAGGUUGUCUUUCGGGCGUCUGCUUGGAUCCGUACGUGGUCAUUACUCAGCCAUACAAACCACAUGGGGUUUUUGGAUAUUGGGUGCAACCGAUGGGAGAUAGUUGCAAAGGAUACUUACAAAAGGUUUGAAUGACGGUUCUGUAAUAGGAUAGGUGUUUACUAAUCUUACCCUAUUUGUGCCGGUUGUGUUGAUUUGUUUCUUUUAUUUCUUUGAGAAUUGCAGAUUUUUUCGGGAGUUUGUUCGGAACCUAUUAUUUUAAUACUAUGGUUGUGUGCAUCAAGAUAUGCAGAUGCCGGGGGUUAUCCUCCUUGUUGAAAAAAAAGGUGUCUCUAAAUUUAAAAGCACACUUCGUAAUUUUCGACACUAAUUUUCCAAGAGAAACAUUGAGGAAAAGUAAUAAACUAUUUCAUCUAAAGCACAUAAUUGGCAUUUAGUGUCGUUGGCAAUCCCCCAUCAGAAUAAUAAAUUAAGGAAAAGGUGAUCAACUUUUAUUCCCCACUCUAGCAGCAUUUUCGGAAGUCUCUCCGGCGAUUCUGUGCAAUAUAAGAUGAAUUCACGGUAAAAAUGAUGCAAUGGUAAUCAAAUAAGCAUGAACUUUAUGAAAUUAUGAUACAAAAUACAGAUAUCACUGGUAAUCAUGGACGAUUGUUUCGAUAGUAGCUGGCACUAUGCACAAUGCAUGCAUGUACUAUGUGAAACGUGCAUCAACUAGACCUGAUUAUAGUCCGUCGUUGUGGGUAUUGGAUUCAUCCGAGUCUUGCCAGUGUUGGUACUCAAACUCUGCCGUCGAGAGACUCUUCUAGUCACUGAACCGUCAUCAGGAAGACCGCUGUGUGAUCACAAAUGCAGGCUCUUACACCAAAUGUCAAAUUGCAGCUAAAAAUAUCGCAAGAAACAUGUGUACCACUAUUUCAUUUAUGAGACAGGGCUUUCAACACCCGGGUGCCCAACAACAACCUGCCCAUGGCUGGACAACACAAGGGGAAAACAACUUUACUAGGCCGCAUCGUGGACUAGCACGCUUCUGGCCUACAUGCAAACGACCUGCGGACUCGAUUGAACCGAGUUUACAAAUUAACAUAUUGCAACAUAAACUAGCGUACUUGACACAAACACACUUAACUUCGGCAUGGUCCGGAGAUCAGGUGGACGGGCAGCUGCUCUCACACUUUGGGAGGUUUCCUCUCAUUCUUAUUCUUAUGCCGCGGCUUCAUUUUGCUAUUCUGAGCCACGACGGCGGUAUUCUUGGGUUGUGUAUUCCCGUUCUUCAACGACCGCAGUUUCUUCAUCUUCGUACUGGUUGGCGUUAUCUUUGUCUUGUUAGGGGCAUUCUUUGCAGCUUCCUUGCCCUUGCCCAUGAUGCGAUCACCUUCUCUNUCUUAGAAUUUAUGACGAUAUUCGUCGUUUCUUCUUCUUUUCAGGCGAGGUGGAUGAUUGGUGUUUAGUUUUCUCCGGUUGGGUUCAGAAAGCCUGCGGCAACAGCUGCAUAAACAGGAGGUGGGAGGUCUUGGGAAAGCGCUCACAUGGGACGACAACACGCUUUCGCCCGAGGAGGUUUGGUGGGGUUGCCAGUGCGACUGUUAGUCAGUCUUUGUUUCGUUUUGGGGAUUAGAUAUGUUCUUCACGGAUGGGUAUGCUGUUGGGUUAGUGGUCGUGGUCGCUGCCGCGUUGAUCUUCGUUUCUUCUCCUCCUUCUCCUAUAGUAGUAUACUUUUUUUUUUGCGAAACUCCUUAUAGUAGUAUACUAUUACUAUAUGUGCAUCAGAAUAAACGAUUGCUGGUUAAGUUUUGUUGCUAGCACACCCCCACACGGCUUGUUAGUUGUUGGUCAUAUAUAUCCAGUCAGAUGAACAUGAGCUCGAACUGUAUUCUGGAAGAUGAAGUCCCCCCCCCCUUCCCCGCGCGUGAUGUCUGUUCAGCUGCUAAUAAACGAAGUGGCUUUCUUCGCCCGCGACGAAAAUGGGGAGUUUCGCUUCGUCCGCAAAGGGAAAGGUUGGGGUCAUAGAAUUGAAAAUAUUUAAACAGGGCUAUAGUUUUGAGAUUUUGAUAAAAGAAUUAAAGAAAAUACUCAUAGCCUUUUGGUUUAUGAAUUUUUGCCUAAAUUACAAACUUUAGAUGCCGGGAUCAUGAAACAUCGGCCACAACCAUUUCAAUAUUAUCCCCCAAAAAAUGGUGAGACCAUACAGCCAUGUGGGUCUAUGUGCAAUGUGGUGCCUACAUGCUAACACAUUAUAUUUAGAAUGGGACCAUGCGCUAGCGUAAGUCAAGUGUUUGGACCGACAAGUUAGACAUAAUUCAUUUUAUUCAUGUAAUAUUUAGAGUGGAACCAUGUAUCAAUAAAAGAAAUGUUUCACCAUUUCGACUACUCCAUGUUGAAGAUUUCUUUUGUUUCAGUUUAAUUAAUGCAAAGUUAAGUACUUCCUCCGUCACAAUUUAGAAUGCGUGCAUGAAAAUUCUCUAGAACCUAGGUGGUUAUUGAUUGGCUGUGAAAUGAGUUAAAAAAUAUCAUUUACACUACGCAUGCAUAUAAAAGUAAUACAACAGAGUACUAAUUAGAAGGUAGGAGUAAAUGCAAUGCGCCUUAAACCGUGUCUAUUGUGAAAAUACACGUAAAUUUAACUGUGUCAUCUCCAGUUAGCCACCUACAUGAUUAGAGCGAGUUUAGUAAUUGCUAGUGCUCUACCUUGAGCCGUUCCGCUUAGUUUCUUGGGGGUAAUGUUGGCUGUAAUUACUAGCGCUGUACCUUGUGCCGUUCCACUUACUUUCCUUGGGGGUAAUGUUGGCUGUAAUUGGUUGCUGAUAUGGCAGUGAGACAACUCUGAACCCCACCACUGUACUCCUCCAGUCUUCUGUUUUGUUAAAGUGUUCGACCAGCCGGUUUCUUUUGUUUUGUUCGAUAUAUGUACUCCCUCCGUCACGGUUUAGAAAGCGUGCGUGUGUUUGGAAAUUCUUUGGAACCUAGGUGGUUAUUUAUUGGCUGUGAGAUGGGCUGAAAAAUAGCAUUCACAAUAUGCAUGUAUAUAGAAGUAGUACAACAGAGUACUAAUUAGCUUCUAGAAGUAAAUAUAAUGCACAUUAAACCUUGUCUAUUGUAAAAAUGCAUAUAAAUUUAAGCAUACUUUCUAAACUGUGACGAAGAGAUAUGCAUAUUCAAUACAUGCAUUAGUUAUUGAUGGAUGGAUAGAUGCGGUUGGUCAUUGGUCAUGGACAUCGCCGCGUUGGUCUUCCUUUCUCAGGCUACUCCCAAUGCUUCAUCUUGUACAAGUGCUAAGGCUGCCACGUAGGUAAAAUAUCUGAUGUGGCAAGUUAAUUAAUAGAAGAGAGAUGAGUAUGAUGACCCUAGAAAAAAACAAUGCUAAGCCAUGAACCUAGGUAUAACAAUUAAAUGAAAGAAAUGCAGCAAUGCAUACACAACUUCAAUUGCAAAAGCAUUAAAUAAAAAGGCUUAGCUACAAUAAGCUAAGCAACUAUACAUUGAGAACAUUAGUUGUUAAACUAUUUAAUGUGCUUAGCAUCUUAUCUUAGCACCAAUGCAUUGAAAGUGGCCUUAUACAUUAGAAUUAGCGUGAGCUGGAGGUUAGGAAGUCGUAUGACUAAUAGAGGAAGGAUAAAAAAAUGCACAUUAUGGUUGAACAAGUAGUCAUACAUCUUGUCCAUUGUAAACCAGCACUAACUGCUUUAGAUAGCACAAGGCACGCCAUGAUCAGAAACUAUAGUCGUCAACCAUAUAUAAUUAGCCAAAUUCUAUUCGACGAGGCAGGUAAAUAUCAAGAAAGAAUAGGAAUUUGACGUUCACACACACAAGGACCUUCCCCAACCCUUUUUUUUUUUGCAUAAUUAAUUUGAUUGUCAAACUACUAGUGCAUCGCAAUGGCUAAGGUAGUCCGGGAUUAAGGGGUCCUCGGGUUGGACUAUCGAGGUCUUUCCACUGCUCUACCUUUAGCUAGAGCAGUAGAAUUUUCCAUUUACUGAACCGCCUACACUAACGCCACUAUGAACGCCCAUGCAUGCCCUGACCCCAAAUGCCAAAUUGCUGCUAAAAAUAUUCCAGCAAACUGGAUGAAACCAUGGAGCAUGUAUGCCACUCUUUUCUUAUACUCAGUCUCCCAACGACAACAAGCCCAUCAUGGCUCGACACAAGAAGAAGAAAACAUUACUUAGCCGCAGUGUUGGCCAGCCUAUAUGCAAAACUACAUAUACGGACUCUAAGGGCUCGAUUGAACAAAGUUUACAAAUUAUCUUAUUGCAACAUUGACUAGUGUAUUUCACACAAACACAGUUCACUUGUUGAUUCUGUAAAACCUUAUUGAAUAAUACAAUAAAUAUGGCUGUGUGUAUCGGUCGAUGCAAAUGCCGGGGUAAUCCUCCUUUUAAAAAAAGGAAGAAAAAAAUACAAACACAAUUAACUUCUUCAUGGACAACGUCCAAUGUCACCACAGAGGUGGAUGGGCAGCUGGCCUCACCCAGUUUAGAGGCUUCCUUUCACUUCUUAUUCUUAUGCGCCGACCUCUUCUGCUUAGGCGUCGCCGACCACAUUUGGCUUGACAUUAUUGAGGCCGCCGAUGGAGCCAUCAUUGUUGACAUUCUUGGUGUCGACGUGCUCGACCAUAUAUAGCUUGAGGCCGCUGUUGCGUCAGUUGGCGUUAUUGAGGAUGCGGAAGGAGCGACAAUUGUUGUCAAUCUUGAGGACCAAUCACCUUGUGUUGGCAUCCUCGACCACAUAUGGCUUGAGGCCGCUGUUGCGGCAGUGGACGGUACUGAGGUCACGGAUGGAGCCAUUAUUGUUGUCAUUCUUGAGGACAACUCACCAAUCGUCGGCAUCAUCGACCAGAUGUGGCUUGAGGCCGCCGUUCCGCCUGUUGAUGCUACUGAAGUCGCAGGUAGAGCCGUCGUUCUCGGUGUUCUUGAGGCCGCCGGCCUGCCUGCCCUUGUUGGCAUACUUGGGGACGCGGGUGGAGCCUCCCGUGGCCUCACCUUCUGACCAAGAAAUUGCCUUGGCAUGAUGUGAUCUGCUUCUGGGGGGGGGGGUCCUUCUCCGGCUCUUCCUCUUCUGCCUGAUGAGGUGAGUUGAGCUGGGGUGAGGUGUUUGCUUUGUGUUACUUGGGGUUGAGGAAGCGAUGCGGCAACGACAUAUAUACACACAAGGAUGUCAUCUCUUUUGGUGUCCUUGCUUGUUCGGCUCAAACGUAUGCGUGUUCAUACUUGAGUAGUAUACAUGUAUAUUCAAUGCACAUAUUACCAUUGGGGAUGUGAUUGGGUCAAGUCAAUGGCUGUGGUCAUCACCGUGUUUGUCUUCAUUUUUCAUACAUUAGAAUUAGCGUUAGGUAUGUUCAGUAGCAGACGGCUAAGAAUAAAAUGAAUAGCGGAUGGUACACUGGUAACAUGAUUCAGUCCCACAACAACAACCUACCGUGCCCCUCAGACAACAAAAGUGACGAAAAAAGAAUUACUCAGCUGGCAACGUGAAGCCGGCUCCAUGGUUUUUUUCAGUGAGAUGUCUAUGAAAUUUAUCGAAUUUAUGUAAUUUCAGUAGACAACAAAAUGUGUACCUUAUAUUGCCGUCAAAAUGCCAUCAUGGUCACAAAUGUAGACUCAGGCACCAAAUGCCAAUUUCAUGCCUUACAUCACUGCUAACAAAUAUGGUAAGAAACACAGGGAACAUGUAUGUCACGUUUUUUUUCCUUUUAUUCAGUGACACAGAAACAACCUGCCACACCACACGCAAGGGAGAAGAAAUUUUACUUGACCGUAACGUUUCUCUCCUGCAUGCAAACUAGCUAUGGAUUCCAAGGGCUCGAUCCUACCGAGUUUACAGACUAACUUUUUGCAACAUAAAACUGAAAUGACAGAAACACACUUAAUGAACUUCGUCACGUCAAUCGCAUCAUGCACGUUUUAAGGCUACCUCUAAACCAGCCUUUGGUUCAUCUUAGACUGGCCAAACACCCCCUUCUAUGUCAUUGGCAAUGCCCGCUUUGCCAUCUUAGAAUUUAUGACGAUAUUCGUCGUUUCUUCUUCUUUUUUGACGGUGGGACUACUGCUUCCUAUAACGCCAUAUUCUUCCUUUGUUCUUCUUCUUUCGUGAAGCAAUGUGUGGUCAGCUAGCUCAGGUGGAUGCAGUGUUUGCUUUGCUCCGGCUGGUUCGAGGAAGCCGGCUGGAAGACGCGCUUCCACCGUGGAGAAUGGUUUGCUGGCUUUGACAGUCAGUAAGUCCCUCCUGUUUGAUUUAGAUGGGACUUAAAGGGACUUAUAAGUUCUAAGUCCCUAAUAAGUCCCUGUAACCAAACACCUCCUAAAUCAUCUCGCUCUAGCAGUAGUCCAAGUCUCUCUGCAUAGAUACGUUGUGUAUGAUUUAUUUAUUUUAAAUCCAAUUUGAGCCGUGUUGCAUCAAAUGGCUGUUGUUUUAAAGUUUAAACAGACAGGACCAGCUGGGCCGGCCCACUAAGGUGUACAUUUGUUCUCCGUCUUUGAGAAUCUUCCAGAAGGUUCCAGUCUGGUUUUCACUGGUUUUUGUUUUUCUUUCCCGGAUUUCUUUGGUUUCCACUAUAUAUUUUUCUUUAAAAAUAUCCCUUUUGUAAAAAUAGAUUUAAAAAAACUCAUAAUAUCAAAUUAUUCAUGUCUUACAUGUUUCGUGGAAUUUCUAAAAAUGUUCUCACUUAGUAGGAAAUACAAUUUAUUUUUCAAAAUACCACGAAUCUGUUGAUAAAAUUAGUACGACGUGCACACCUGAAAAAUAAAGGAAAUACAACGAGGUCCCUGGGGGUGAGGGUGUGGCAAGUACACGAUGACGCCUCCACAUUACUGGUGUCAGUCAGUCGUUGUUACUCACCAACGGGAAAUUAUCUUCUUCUUUUUCUUUCUGCGAAUACGAACGGGAAGUUAUCCAGGUCACGGCCAUACCAUGCCAGGUUUCAGAAAAAAUACUGAGGUUGCUGAGGUGAGGUGGAUGUGGUAUUUGUUUUGCACCGGUUGGUUUGUGGAAUCCUACAGCAACUGGGCGUGAAUAUAUAUAGGCGAGAUAAACAAUUGGAAAAGCGCCCUGGCCGGACAACGCGGUUUCAUCGAAGGACAAUGGUUUGGUGUUGUUAGUCAGUCUCUUUUGUGUUGUUUUGAGGAGUAGAUAUGUAUAUUUGAUACAUCUGUUCUUGACAGAUAGGUAUGCAGUUGGGUCAGUGGUCGUCGUUGCUGCCGCGUUGGUCUUCAUUUCUUCUUCUCCUUCUCCUUAUACUAGUGCUACAUCAAAAUAAGUGUUUGUGGUCAAGUUUUGUUAGCACAUGCCACACGGCUUUUUAGUUGUUAGUCAUUAGCUAAACAUAUUUUAAUAAUGUGUGACCUCACGAGUUAGAAUGUUUCUCCAUUCUGUUUAACGUAAUUCUUCAGUUAUCAUGGCUCGCUGACUAUUGGUUUCUGAGUGUUUGCCUAAAUUCCAAAGAUUCGAUGACGGGCCCAAAAUAUUUCAAUUUUCUCCCCUAAAAUUGUGGGAUCCAUACUGACAUGCGGGGGACAAGAGAGUUCGACCAUGUGCUAGCGUAAAAUCAAGUAUUUGGACCCAUAUGUCCAUACAUUGUUCGUUUUAUUCAUGUUAUAUAUUUAGAGUGGAACCAUGUAAUACAUGAGAUGUGUCACCAUUUCGACUAAUCCAUGUUGCAGAAUUUUUUCGUUUCAAUUUAAUUCAUGCAUGCCUUUUAACAUAUCUGCAAAUAACCAGAGAGCUUCUCUAUUCUUGUUGGCAUAUUUUAACAUGGUCUCUCUUACCUCCUCUUUUCACAUGAGAGCUAAGAUGGUAAGAGUUAAUCAGAGGUUUUCUUUCUACUCCUUAAAUAAUAUAACCGGUAGAAGUUGCCCGUUAGUUCAUUUAGAUUCAGUGGCACACAUACAUGAUUUGGACAAUAAAGAUAGUAGCUUACACAAUAUUCCGUGGUCGACAUCACAUUACGACACCGCUCGGUGGCCUUAUCUCUUCUCUUCUAGUGACGGGUUCCUUUUUGUCAUUCGUUUUGUUAUAAGUAGUUUUUUUCUUAGUAUUUCACCACAAUGUCAACAUCUAAAGAAGAAAAAAAUCAUGCAUUUUAUUGAAAACAUAUGCAUUGCAUUACAAAUUAGUCAUAUAGAUGUUCAUCAUACAUUUCAAAGAUUAAGAUGCUUUUGAAAAAUCCGUUUCUUUGGAACCCUAACUUCCACGGCUCAGUUAGGCUGUGAUUCUCGAAAGCAUACUACUAUAAUGUAGGCAUAGCAGCUAACUACUGAUCGUAUUAAUUAAUCUAUCUACAAAUACCUACUGCUGAUUCACUCGGAAAGCACAAGGCAUGCCGCGCCACUAAAACAAGCAAAAGUCAAAUUAUGUUUGAUCAGCUGCCGGUAGGCAGAGAUCAUGUCAAGAAUAGGAGUCCGCCAACAUUCACAUCGAACGCACAUGCUGCCUAGCUUCCUCGACCUUCUCUUCCUUAUUUAAUUUUCUCCUUCUUCUACCAAAGAACACCACUCACCUUCGCGCUGUAGUCUUGCCGCUGCUCAAUUGUCGGCGCCCUACCUUGAGCCGUUCCGCAUAUUUUCCCUGUGGGUAUUGGUAGCUGUAAUUUGUUGCUGAUAUGGCAGCGAGACAACUCUUGAUCUCCACCACUGGAAUUCUCCGGUAUGAUCUCUGCUAACGAAUAUCGCAUGAAAUUGGGAUAAACACACAUAAAACAGAAGUAGUUUAGCGACGCAUUUAUUAAUCAUGUUACACACAUUUCUUCUUCUUUCUUGUUGGGAAAGAUGGACCUCCAUUCUAUUCAUCAACUGACAGUACAAAGAACACCGCAAGUAACAUAAAACUACAUCCAAGUCCAUAGGCCAUAUAUAUGUUUAUCAGUUGCCACACUUCUGGCUUACAUGUCACCGGCUCAAACAAAUCGAGUUUACAAAUUUAUUAACUUAUUGUAACAUAACUAAACUUGUCUCAACGCACUUAACUUCAUGGAAGAUGGAUGACAUAUGGUUGGAGAUCAUCGGCGUGUGGUGGAAGUAGUUGGACGUGUGGGAGUGGCACGACUACGACUUGUCGUCGCGGGCAAGGGCGGGGCCGUCGUCCUGGCCGUUCGUGAGGUCGACGCACCUGGCUGCACUGUACUCAUUGACCGGUUUGAGGCCACCGUCGCUCCCGUUGGCGUUCUUGAGGUCGUGGACGGAGCGGCUCUUGUUGACAUUCUUGACGUCCCGGAAGGAGCCACCAUCACUGGUGUCGCUGAAGUUCUUGAGGUCGCGUACCGAUUUGUCGUUGUUGACGUUCUUGAGGUCGGAUGCGGAUUUGCCGUUGUUGAAGUUCUUGAGGUCGCGUGGGGAUUGGCCGUUGUUGAAGUUCUUGAGGCAGCGGGUUGAGCCGGCGUUGCUGAUAUUCUUGCGCCCGCAGGCGAAACUGCCAUUGCUGGCGUUCUUGAUGCGGCAGAGGGAGACACCCUUGCUGACGAUCUUGAUGCCGCAGACGUAGCCGCCCUUGGUGAUGUUGUUGAGGCCACGAGCGGAGCCACCGUUGUUGGCGUUCUUGAGGUAGCCGCCGGCGUUGGUGUUCUUGAGGUAGCCGCCGGCGUUGGUGUUCUUGAGGUAGCCGCCGGCGUUGGUGUUCUUGAGGUAGCUGCCGGCGUUGGUGUUCUUGGGGUUGUGGGUGGACCCGCCGGUGACCUCGCCUUCUUCUGACCGAGAAACCUUCCUGGCAACAUGACAGGAUAUUGAUCUUCUUCUUCGAGAUGAGGUGAGGUGAGCUGAGUGGGGUGGAUAUGGUGUUUGGUUUUGCUCCGGUUGAGUCGAGGGAGCCCGCAUCCAUGGUAAUGUAUAUAUAGGAGAAGAAUGGUGUGUUGACGUGUUCAACCGCUCUGUCUCUUUUGUUUUGUUGAGUAUGUAUUAGAUAUUUUUUUUUUAGAAAAGGAGGCUUCCCCCGGCCUCUGCAUCGAGUGAUGCAUACAGCCAUUUAUUUAAUAACCGAAAAGAUCUGAAGUUGGUACAAAGUCGAAAGAAAAAGGAAAAAUAAAUUACAAGGCGAUCAACGCCCAAGCCAAAAAGAUGGAUAGGAGUAGCUGACUAAAUCCCUAUUCUAUCAGCAUGCCGCCAUCCAUAUCGGCUGAAGAUAGCCUGAGCUACCAUCUUCCAUCGGGCACACCCAGUAACCAAAGGCUCCCUGGUUUCCACAGGAGUGAGUAAGGACCACAUGCGAAUCCAGUCGGUAGCUCCGAAGAUGACCUGCAAAAGGUGAAUAGAUUGUUGUCUGUUAAAAACUAGGUCAUUUCUGCAGUUCCAUAUAGCCCAUAGAAGUGCAGAAGUUCCAACUCGGAUUAGCUUAGCGAACGAUAUAUUAACCCCGUCAAGCCAUGUCCCAAAUAACAUGUUAAUGCUAGUAGGUGGGAUAAUGUUAAAAGCAAUAUGGAUUGAGCGCCAUAAUAUUUUAGCCAUGGGGCAGUCCAGAAAGAGGUGCUUGAUAGUUUCAUAUGCCUGACAGAAGCUACAUCUCCGAUUUCCUUUCCAAUUUCGCUUGGCCAAGUUAUCCUUAGUUAAAACAACUCCUUUGUGGACAAACCACAAAAAGAUUUUUAACUUAAGGGGAACCUUAACGUUCCAAAUAUGUGAAGAUUUUGGAAUAAGUGAACUAUCAAUAACAUGGUCAUACAUUGAUUUCACGGAGAACGUACCAUUGGAGGUCAGUUUCCAAACAAUCCUAUCCGGGUCAUCACAAAGACUAACAUCCAUCAGCCUUCUGACUAGAUGUAACCAUCUGGCCCAUCUAGUACCUAUCAAGGAUCUGCGAAACUGAAUGUUGAGAGGCGUCUCAUGUAACACUGCCGCAACAGUCGCCUGCCUGCGCUGGGCAAUGUUAUACAGCUGCGGAUAUUGAAGGGCCAGGGGCUCGUCACCUAGCCAGAUAUCCUCCCAGAAUCUAGUAGAUUCACCAUUGCCGAUGAUGAAUUUAGUCCUGUUAAAAAAAGUUGUUUUUGUCUUCAUGAGACCCUUCCAAAAAGGUGAAUCUCCAGGUCUCACAGUGACCUGAGCUAAGGUUUUUUGCUGUAGAUACUUGUUCUUCAGAAUUUGUAUCCACAUACCUUCUGAUUCCACAGAUAGUCUGAAAAGCCACUUGCUGAGCAGACACCUGUUUUUAACCUCUAAGUUUUCAAUCCCCAACCCUCCCUGAUCUUUGGGCCUACAAAUAAUAUCCCAUCUAGCCAGCCUAUAUUUGGUCUUGACCUCAUCACUCUGCCAGAAAAAUCUUGAUCGGUAAAAAUCCAGCCUUUUUCGUACCCCUACUGGUACUUCAAAAAAGGAUAGAAGGAACAUUGGCAUACUUGUCAAUACUGAAUUAACUAAAACCAAUCGUCCUCCGUAGGAUAAUAGCUUGCCCUUCCAGCAGCUCAGUUUUUUUCAAACCGAUCCUCGAUGCACUUCCAUUCUUUAAUAGAUAAUUUUCGGUGAUGAAUAGGGAUUCCUAAGUACGUAAAUGGUAACGUACCACCCUCGCAACCAAAAAGUUGGUUAUAAGUGAGUUGUUCAUCUUUCGCUUCCCCAAAGCAAAAGAGUUCACUUUUAAAGAAGUUAAUUUUCAGCCCAGAUAGCUGUUCGAAUAAGCAUAAUAUUAACUUCAUGUUUGUGGCUUUUUUGAGAUCAUGUUCCAUGAAAAGGAUUGUGUCAUCCGCAUAUUGUAGGAUGGAGACACCCCCAUCGACUAGAUGUGGCACUAGUCCCCCUACUAACCCUUUAUCAUUAGCCCUCCUGAUCACUAGCGCUAACAUAUCUGCUACGAUGUUAAAUAAAAGGGGUGACAUAGGGUCUCCCUGCCUGAGACCCUUUAGUGUCUGAAAGAAAUGACCUACAUCAUCAUUCACUUUAAUACCGACACUACCCUUUUGUAUAAAACGAUCUAUAUGUUUUUGCCAAAUCUCGCAAAACCCCUUCAUACGUAGAGUUUGUUGCAAGAAAGACCAUUUGACUUUAUCGUACGCCUUUUCGAAGUCUACCUUAAAUAAAACUCCGUUAAGCUUCUUGGAAUGUAAUUCGUGAAGGGUUUCAUGGAGAACAACCACCCCUUCAAGAAUAUUCCGACCAAGCAUGAAGGCCGUCUGCGAAGAUUGCACCACAGAAUGUGCCAUCUUAGUUAACCUAUCUGUUCCCACCUCUGUGAAAAUUUUGAAGCUAACAUUAAGCAGACAUAUGGGACGAAAUUGUUCAAUACGCGAAGCACCCUCUUUGUUUGGUAGCAACGUUAUCGUACCAAAAUUAAGAUGAAAGAGUUGUAAGUGCCCGGAGAACAAAUCGUGAAACAUUGCCAUGAGAUAUUUCUUAAUAAUAUGCCAACAUCUCUUACAGAACUCAGCUGGGAACCCAUCCGGUCCCGGCGCUUUACCGUUUUUCAUAGCCUGAAUCGCCUGGAGCACCUCUUUCUCUAGAAAAGGAGCGGAUAGACACUCAUUAUCGGCUUGUCCAAUCUGAGGAAUAUCCGCGGUUUGAUGCUCGUCCAUAGACACAUAACUAUGAGACGGAGCACCAAACAACCUUUUAUAAUAGUUUGAGAUGUACAACUUUAGAUUCUCAUGACCUACUAUUGUACCCUCAUCUUGCUCAAGUUGUAUAAUCCUCUUUUUCCGAUGCUUGCCAUUUGCAAUCAAAUGGAAAAACUUAGUGUUGUCAUCACCCUGGACCAUUGCCCUAACAUUGCUCUGACAGCCCAUUUCAUUUCCUCUUCUCAAAGAAGGAUUCGAGCUCUUUGUUCAGCCUUGUACUUUAACGCCCUCUCUUGAUCAUCCAGCAUACGAGUUUCUGCCUGACGAUCUCGAUUAUCUAUAAGUUUGAGCAGUCUGUCUUGCUCAUCUCGAUAAGCUCCAGAUAUAUUCUUAGCCCAACCUCUCAAGAAUUGUCUAAGAUGUCGUAUUUUAUUUUGCCAGACAUCCACACUAGAGUUCCCACCCGCAUACUUAUUCCAUUCCAUAGAAAUCAUGUCCACAAACCCCUCACGUGUGAACCAGCUUGAUUCAAAAGAGAAAGCAUCAUUCCUCCCUUUGUGAGUGGCUUGGCCAGAAUCUAGUAAGAGAGGGGUGUGGUCAGAUAUAGCUCUUUGAAGUGCACAUACUGUGACUAGCGGGAAUUUCUGUUCCCAGUCAACACUCGUAAGUACCCUAUCCAACUUUUCAAAAGUUUGAGUAGGUAGAGAGUUGGCCCAAGUAUAUUUCCUACCAGAGAGAUCAAUCUCCCGUAAGUUGAGACUCUCUAUGAUUGUGUUGAACAUAAAAGGCCAUCUGCCAUCAAAGUUAUCAUUGUUCUUCUCAUCAGCUCUCCUGAUGAUGUUAAAAUCACCACCUACCACUAGUGGUAAAGUUUCAUCGCAAAUUCGAACCAAAUCAGCCAGAAAAGCUGGCUUUUGCUCUGCUUGUGUGGCCCCAUAAACCGCAACCAGAGCCCAUUGGAAUCCAUCUUCCUUGGUUCUAAUUCGAAAUUUGACUGAGAACUCCCCUAGCACCACUUCCCGAACUUGAAGUGUAUGACACCGGACUCCAAGUAAGAUCCCUCCGGACCUUCCUCUUGGAGGGAGACAAUGCCAAUCGAAUUCAACACCUCCCGAAAGAGUGUUUAGAAAUUGCGAUGUGAAAUUGUCCCGACCCGUCUCCAUCAACGCGAUGAAGUCAAGACUAUGAUGUAUCGUAGUUUCUGCAAGGAACCGAAUUUUAGCCAAGUCUCUCAGACCUCUGCUAUUCCAAAACAUUCCUUUCAUAUUUCAUCGUGGAAUUUUUUAGCAGUCUUGAAUCUAGCACUCCUAUGAAUUGCAGAGACAGUAUAAACUCUCUUUUUAUAAGUGCGUUUUGGCUUUUCAGAAACAUACUCCUGGUCCAUAUAACCAGUCGUAUUUUCGGGACCCUCAUUUGGUGUAGGUUUUGAUUGCUGAUUGAUGUGUAAAACCUCCUGAGACACCUCUCUAUCCUCAGGUGAGACUAAAUUAUCACAGAAUAAAUUCAAACCUCCCAUGUUAGAUAUUGCGUCAUCAUUCAUAGGUUUAAUGGCAGCUAGGGUUCGAAUAAUAUCCAAAGGCCUAUCAACUUCUAAGUCCAACAAGUCAUUAAUAGAUUUGGAAAUUUCUUUGCUAUUGCUACCCAAAUUGACUCCCACAGCUGUGGCAUUAUCUAUAAUAUCUUGCGGGGGAAAAUGAAGAAUAGAAUGCUCAGUAUUGAUGGACAUACCUGUCGAAUUCUGAACAUCCUUCAUUCUAGCCGCCCUCAUAGCACGCCCAAUCUGCAAGUCAUCCACGUCUGGCUGGGCUUGUACCCGAUGACUGGUCCUUCUAUCUGGACCCAUCGGAUCUGGAACUCCACCAAAAGCUAUGACUUCAUCAACUGAGAUCUCAACAGGCUGGGCUGCCAAAACUGUAGGAGUAUCAUCACCCUCUCCCAGUGACUGACGAAACGUCCCAGUAAGUUCAUCCUCGGAGGCCAAGCUCGCCUCUCCAUUCUCUGCAUCCUCUAAUUCAGCUCCCAGGUCGCCUCUAGAAAUCGGCGCUAACUGGAGCAUGCAAGCAUGCGCGUCACCCUGCGCUUGGCAAUCGGCCGCCGCCGUGUAGCCUGCAUCAGCAGCUAUGCGAUCAGCCGCAUGUUGAACAUGCCCAGCCGUGCACGACACCUCGUGCUCUUGUGCAUCCCCACCCCUGCAAGUACCAUCUUCCAUCAUCGCAGUAACAAGAGGAGACAGAGGUGGUGCAGGUGCAGCGCCAAACGCCGGAGUGGGAACCUCCCCAGCUCCUUGCUCUCUGACAGUAGCAUCUCCAACUACACUUACACUCCGCUCUGGAUCAACCUCCUUAUCUGACUGCAUAAUCUUAGGUGGGUUACUAACAAGCUUUGCAUCAGCGAGAUAUGCCUCCAACGAAACCGGUUGCAACGUAUUAGUAGACUGCAGAAUACCUAUGUUGCCCCGAGGAGACUUUCCUGUGAACCUGGGAAGUCUUGAAGGCGUGUGCAUGGGCCGACCAACUUUUGCCGACGCAGAUGCAGGUUUAAAAGAUCCGAACCGCAACUCCAGAUGAGAAGCAGAAACCCCGUGUUUAGUACCCGUGCCUGAGGUUUGCAUCCCCUGAGUGGGUUGAGCAUUCUUCUGAGAUGAAAAAGUGGGCCCUGACUCAAAAGGAGUGUCACUCUCCUUGGCACCAUCUGCAUCAUCUCCAUCGGUCAUAUUGGUAUCUUUAUCUUGAACUGGUGAAUCAAAAAGAGUGGGGCUCUCUAUUUCCAAUUGGAGAGUGUACCGCAUCCCCUCAAAAGUCCACAUGACCUGAUCUGGAAUGAUUUGAAUAUCCAGCACACUCACAAGCAUCCUCGCGAUGCCUUUGGCUCUAGUGAACACCAUAUCCACCUCCUCCGUUUUACCAAUUAGCGAACCCAAACUCCAUACCACUCUAAAGUCAUUCAUCGCCCUGGUAGGAGCACCUGCAAAGUGGACCCAAAUCUGAGGUAGAGGAACGCCCUUUGGCUCCUCACACUUCCAGGCAUCAAACUCAAGUACGCAACUUGUGCUAGCCACUCUGCACAUACCGAACUUAAGCAAGCGAGCCAAGUCCUCCUUAGUAGGAAAAACGACCUUAAAGACAUUAUCUGAUAUCAAAACCGGUUCCCACCGGAAAGUGGAUGAUACAAGUUCCUUAAGCUGUUGCACCACCUGCUCCAUGGUUAAGACUCCCCGAGUCACCGUCACCGUGCCCGUGAAACCAGCAUCUGGUGUGUGAAGUGUUGCCGUUGCCGCCGGCGACUCGAAAAACAUUAACUCUUGACUAGAAACACCAUAGAUGGUUACCACCGGCAAACUCUGAACCGUAAGGGGACACUUAGCCUCACCAUGCGUCGGCUUAAGACAAUUCACACAAAGCUCAGCCUUGCACUCGGACACAAAGUGCCCCGCCUCACUGCAACGAUAGCACACCAUCUUCUCUUUCUUGCGCGCCCACUUGGAGGGCCGAUCACCUCCCUCGCCUUUUGCUACCGCAGGAGCCUGUUUAGGGACUACUGGAUCAGCCGCCACCUUCUCAGGAAUAAUCUCCUUAGCCGCGUCAUCCGCCGGCGGUUCUUGAGCAGGCAAAGGAGGCCUAGGCUUCCUACCUCCACCUUUGCCCGCCCAAUUGUGUCGAAAGCCCCCUCUCUUGUGAUAAGAAGGACCCGACGUCCCCGGCACAAAAUUCCCCGGCGGUGCAGUAAAAGGCUUGUUCUGUCCAUUAUUCAAAGUUGCAUGCCCACGGCCGCCACCAUAGGAUGAUGACCCGCGAAAUUGACCGUCCCCAUACGAGCUACCGCCGUCACAGCCCCAACGGCCGCGCUGCUGCAUGUGCUGAUCCCCAUGCUCCCCUGCCUGACCGGGAGGCACAGGCUGCCGUCCUGUCUGAGUAGCUGCUGGUGUACGUGCCAUCUGCGUUGCAGCAGGUUUUGCAAUGGGGGGCGAUCCCCUUGCCCAGAGGGUCGAGGCUGCGCAGCCGGCGGUGGCCUGGGAGUGCCCCUGCCUGCCAUCGCGACAGAAGGAGGAGGCGGCACUCAUGCAGCGCGUCCCAGACCCAGCGACGGAAAGCCAGGCUGUAAUCACCGAGGAACCCUAGGCUCAGGCGUUGCCGUGCAUGCGAAACUCCCCUGAUGCGAGACGCCGAAACCAGCCGCUGGGACGGAGAUAUCUGUCGUUGGCGUAGGUAACGCCUGGGCCAUAUACCCAGGGCUUACGCUGUCCGACAUGGACUCUAUGUUAGGGAUUUCUUCUUGGGCCAUAUACCCAAUAGCGUUGUCAGAGAUAGAUUCCAAUACAGUGCUCGCAGCCUCCGAUGCCGAUUUCAAAAAAGCCUCCCUUUGGAAACGCAUCUCAAUCAGCGUGGAACCCGGCUUAAUCAACGCUGAUGCCGUAGGUUUCGGGCAUGCCAAGCUGUUCUUCUUCCUUCCCUUGGCUAGGCACCAUCCCGGCUCAGGGAAGAAAUCGGACAGCGGAAUCGGUUUCAGGUUCAUCGGUGGCAAGGGGCCGAUCCAUGGACGAACCUUAUGCGUCGGCACCUCCUUCUUCGAGCCCCUAGCCUGAGUUCUAACACGUCUGAUGGAACCCGGCUCCCAGCGAGGAACAUCAGCAAUAGCAGUUGAAAGAUCGAAUUCCUCGCAAUUAAUCUCUUCUACCUCGUCAUCAGAUUCUUGAUCUGCAAGAACCCAAAAACAGCCUCCAAACCGAGGUGAAUUAUCAGUACUCACCUUGCUUAUGCGAAGAUCCCCUUGAUGGCCCUCAAGAAAGUCCUUAACGAUGAGGGAGAAGCCAUCUAUCUCCAUAGUAUGCCCGAUCUUCGGAUAUUCCUCGUCUUGCAAGUAACGGCCUGCGAGAAUAUCGUUAUCUUCGUCACGAAUGGUGAUCCAGCGAGAUACCUGAUGAAGUUUGAUGGCUCCUGAUCUCUGCACACGCUCCUCGAAGGAGGUGUCGACGAAGGACACCGUCCAGGUCCCAUGCGAGUCCCUGCUGUCCGCCGGUGGCCGGAGAUGAGUCUCCGGUCUGCCCUCCGAGGGACAAGGAGAGAGCCCCGUCGGUCGCCCCCGAGACCGCCCCUCCUAGCGCCUCGGUCGUCAUCUCCCCCUUGCUCGGCCUCAUGUCAUGGUGAUCGGCGGAGUACUCCCCCGAACGGGCCGCGUCCCACUCGAACGGCCCGCCGCCCUCUCCUUUGCGCCUCGAUCUGCUGCGCCCGACGCGGCCCUGGAGCCCGGAGUCGGACAGUGCGGCAGCGGCGGCGACGGGGCAGCUGCUCAUCCACCGCGAGGGGUGGGGCNGUAGGACGGGGGGAGGGAGUCAGAUUUAAAUCAUAAUCUUUAAAAUGGGAGAGAUUUUUACUUCCCGGCCUCUGCACCAACAAGGGAUGCAUAGGGUCAUUUUAGUAUGAGUACCAAGAUAAACAUGGUCCUCGGAAUUUUUUUUAAAUGAGUAUCAAGAUUUUUUUGAUGAGUGGUUUUACCACACGCCAAACUUGAUCCUCAAUAAAUGGGAGAAAACUCCCUGUGCAUCACCUGUCAAUUUUAGGAAUUGAACUCGGAUAGUUGGGCUGCACAACGCAUGCCCAACCACUGAGCCAAGGCUCUCUUUGCGUAUGUAUUAGAUAUGCAUAUUUCAAUUAAUGCAUAAGUUAUUGACGGAUGGAUGGACUGACGGAUGGAUGGAUGCGGUUGGUCAAUGGUAUGGUCAUCGCCGCGUUGAUCUACAUUUCUUAUAGAUCAGAAUUAGUGUUAGGUGGAGGUUAGGAAGCAGAUGGAUAAUAGAGCAAGGAUAAAAUUAUAAUUACAUACAAAAUAAAAAAUGGUUUUGUUGGACUUCUUCUUCGAGAUGAGGUGAGGUGAGGUGAGUGGGGUGGAUAUGGUGUUUGCUUUGCUCCGGUUGGGGCGAGGUAAUGUAUAUAUAGGAGAAAAAUGGGACCGGUCAGUCUCUUUUGGUUUUGUUGGAUAUAUAUGUACUACCUCCGUUACAGUUUAGAAGGCACACACGUGUACCUAGAUCGUCAAUUUAAUUUAUAUAAAAUUUAUUAUUUAAUAUAAAAAAUAUAUCAUUAGAAAAUAGAAUAAUUAAAUUUUUUAAUGAUAUAUUUUUGAUAAUAUAUGUUUAUCAUUAAGUUGAUCAAAUUGAUGACGUAGAUACAUGUGUCGAACUUAUAAACUAAGAUUAAAAAGAAUAGUAGAUAUGCAUAUUCCAAUGCAUGCAUUACUUAUUGAUGGACGAAUGGAGUGACCGAUUGAUGGAAGUCGGUUGGUCAAUGCUGAUGGUCGUCGCCGCGUUGGUCUACAUUUUCUUAUACGUCAGAAUUAGUGUUAGGUGGAGGUUAGGAAGCAGAUGGAUAAUAGAGCAAGGAUAAAAUGUAUAAUUACAUACUUUCUUCAUCUUAAAAUAAAUGUUUUAAAUUUAAUAUAAUUUUAUAUUAAAACUAAUAUAAAGUUAAGACAAUUAUUUUAGGAUGAAAGAAGUACAAAAUUAUAAAAGAACAUGCACAUUGUGGUGUGGCGAUCCAUCUGCACAUUGAACCAACAACUCAUCCCACACGGUUUCAAGGCUUUGUCGAUGAUCUGUCCUGACUCAAAAUAGUAGUCAUGUACUUUCUGUGUAAACUAAUAUUACAGCAUUUAUAUCAUUAUUUUAAUGAUCUAUAUGCUCUCAUAUUAGUUUACGGAAUAAGGAAUAGUGAGACUCACGAAAACAAAAACUUUCAAACUAACUAGGACACGAACUAUCCAAUUUACACUGAGGAUGCUAAUUAACUAUCUCAAUUGAAAUGUGUCAUUACUACAUUAGCACAAACUUAUUGCACAUUUUAGGCUAAGAACAGGAAAAAUGAAUCUAUAGUCCACAACCCCGUUUAUUUAUUAAAUAAGUCCAAAACUGAUUAGGGAGGAGAAAAAACCAUCUAUUUGGCUGCCGUCUUGCCAUACCUUGGAUUGCCCAUAAACUGAUAUUCUUUACAUGGGAUUUUUUAUAUUCUUGCUCAAGUUACGUUUAAUCAUUAGCUUUCUAACUAUCACGUGUUGCAUUGGCUGGGAUUUGAACAGAUGCCCUAACGACGGAGGAAGCGUGUUGCUAACUACUAGAAUGUUAAAUGAUUUGCGUACAAUGAUGCAAAGGAUAUUACUGUAUAUGUUACCAUACUUUCUUUGAGCUGCUGAAUGGCCUUUAUAUUGUAAUUGGAGGAAAACCAAUUACUACUAUUACUCCCUCCGUUCCUAAGUCUUUUUAGAAUUUUCAUCAAGGGACUAUAUACGGAUGUAUAUAAACAUAUUUUAGUAUAUGGAUACAUUCAUUUUGCUUCGUAUAUAGUUUUUCAAUGAAAUCUUUAAAAAGACUUAUGUUUAGAAAAGAAGGAAGUAUACAGUGGCAGCUAGCUACUGUGGCAGUCAUUGCAUGUACACACGCUUCUUGUCUUAGGUAUACAUACAAAUACAAUUCCUGUGUACGAGGCCACAUCUCGUGUAAAUCUUCUUGUGCGGCAAAAACAAGCAGCAUAUGAUCAGAUGGGAUGCAUGAUGAUAUGAUCCGCGGCUGUAGGAUUGCCUACCAGGCCCGGGCCCACAGUGGUGCCACAUGUACAGCCCGCACAGGGUCCAUGAUUUUGAAGGGCCCCCCCCCCCCCCCCCAUAUAUAUAUAGUUGUAUUUAAUAAACGACUCGACGUCGUGCGGUCGUGGGCGACUGGGAGUCGUAGCUCGUCUCCGCGUGACGUGGGCGCCUCGAGCAGCUGGCCGCUGGGCGCGUGGGCCAGUGCGCCAGUGGGCCGUUGCCUGGAGCGACCUGGCCUGUGGCCUGUAGGUCAGGUGCGUACUGCGCAGGUCUCCCUCCGUCUACGAAACGUGAUGGCCAGGCCUGGUGAUGUGUUGAUCGCAUGAUGAUGUAAUCCCAUCGAUCUGUACUGCAUGUCUACAUCGAUCGACAGAUUCUAUAGACAUCCCCAACUCCCCAUCGAUCUGUAGACGAUACGCGCCGUCCACCUCGGAUCGCCAGCUAGAGCAGCUCGUCUCUGUUGUUGAUGCCGUGCGUGCACAUGUACGAGUAGCGCUUCCAUCUAUAUUUCGGUAAGAGAAGAAUAUCUCGUCGACUCGUCGCCUGCGUCGUUUGCAUCAUCACUGAUCACUUCAUCUGUUCAUCACGCAUCAGAUCGAUCCCGCGAUCCGAUUCAGGUCACCACCCAGACUCGUCGUCUCGUCGGAUCGAUCCCGGUUCAUCCGUGGAGGACCCAAAACUAGGUGAGUUAGACAGUUCGUGUAAGUGCCAAACAUUGAUGCAUGAUCUCCAAUUGAUAUAUGCUACUGUAUAACUUUAAUUUCAUUGUAUUCAUCUUUUUAAUAUUGUGUUUCAAUAAUAUAGAUUUGAGUCAUCAUGGAAAAACAACGGUCCGAUGCCUAUAAGCGCAAGAGAAAAGUGAAAGAACAAAAUUUAAUUAAUAAAUCUUAUAAAGGUUUCCCUUAUGAAGGAUAAACAAUCUGAUAUUGAUGCCAAUGAACUAUUUAUUGAGUUGAAGUUUCUUCAAAAUUUCAUGCCAAAAGAAAAUAUCGGACCUGUUGAAAUUCUGAAUUUUUUAAAGCGGCUUGAUUGUUUUCCCAAUGCAAGUAUUGCAUAUAGAGUUAUUUUGAUCAUUCCUGUGACAGUUGCAUCAGCAGAAAGAAGUUUUUUUAAAUUAAAACUAUUGAAGUCCUAUAUGCGUACAACUAUGACACAACAAAGACUCAAUGAUUUGGCCACAAUAGCACUUGAGAGUGAAGUCUUGGAGAAGAUUGAUUACCCGGAUAUCAUUGAAGAUUUUAUUUCAAAGAACGCUGCAAGAAUGAGGAUGUUCAAAUAAAUAGCAGUCGGGAGUUGCAUAGGUAUGACUUUUUUAUAUGUCCAAUUUUUAAUGUAAGAUAUUAUAUUAUAUAUAUUACAAUUUUUUUCUGCGAGACAUUAUACAUUAUAAAUGCUCGUUAGUUCAUAUUUUUGUGAGAUAGGGCCCCAUUUUUUCGUUCCGCAUAGGGCCCCGGAUUUUGCCGGCCCGCCCUGUUGCCUACGAGCUCAGUUCAAAUCAAAUGCAAGGAUUGCGUGCGAGCUCAUGCAUGCCAGCUCAGGUUUCCUCUCCAAGUGCAUACACAACAACUCAAAAUUCUAUUGGUCUAUAAUCUGCUUGCUUCUUCCUUAGAUUGUGGGUUCAAAAACGACUGAAAUCAUUUAGUAUUUACUAGCAAAAUGGCACGUGCGUUGCAACGGAAGAAAAAAACAUAAUCUUCAAUGAUGAUGACCACAUUAUGUUCACACAUCAUCGCUUGAUUUUGAAAUUUUGUGCACAACUACAAAAAAAUGUUUCUUCUUUUAAAUUUAUUCACAAGUUGAAGCAAUCUUUACAUUUUCAAAAAACAAAUAUCAUGGUUGUCAAAAAUCUUGGUAACUCAAAGAAUUAUUCUUAAUUUCAAAAAAAAAUUAGAAAACAUACAAUAAUAAUCCGAUCCAUCCAACAGUUAAUUCUUCAAAAAUCACACGGGUAUAUUUUCACAAAGACUUAGAAGGAUUAAUGUUUAACUUCAUACAUUAGAUCUUUCAUGAACAAUUUUACACAUAUGAGAACCAUUUUGAAAUCGAGAACAUUUUUUACAAUUUAAAAACAUUUACUAAAAAUCAGGAAUAUUUUUUAUAUUUCAAACGGGUUUAAAUAAUUUCUUUUGAAUUAGCGACCAAUUCUAGAAAAUACGAACAUAAUUUUUUAUGUUGGAGGAUUUUACUUUAAAUUCACAAAAAAAAUUGAAACACAUGAAGUUUUUCUGAAUAAAAAAACAUUUUUAUAAGUCGGUAAUAUAUUUAUUAAAUUCACGGACAUUGUUUUGGAAUUUGCCAAAAAAAUUAUAAAAAUACGGCGCCUUUUUUGAAUCCAUAAAUAUUUUAUGUUUUCGUCAACAUUUUAAUUCCAAAUUACUAUUUUUUAAUAUGCAAAUGCUUUUGUAAUUCUAAAUUAUUUAAAUUAGAAGUAAACAAAAAUGGAACGGAAAAAUUAAAAGAAAAAAAGAAACUAUCAAAACAGGUUAGCUAUUUUUAAAAUUUUAGGACAUUUUUAAAUGCAUUAACAUAUUUUGAAUUAGAAAGCAUUUUGUUAAAAAAAUUUAAUCAUUUUUAAUAUAUGGAGUUUGAUUUGUAAUCAUGGACUUUUCCUAUUUUACAAACAUUUUUUCAAACUUGCAAACAUUUUAUUGUAUAUGCGAGCAUUUUUAAUAAAAACUCCGAGCAGUUUUUGAAGUCACAAACAUUUUAUUUUUUAAAAUAUGUUGAUUUAAAAUUAUAAGUUUAUUAAAAGUUUAAAGGUUAUUUGAAGUUCUAAAUUAUUGAAAAUAGAAAAAUAAAAUGGAACUGAAGAUAAAUAAAUAAAGGGAACUAAAAAAACUGGCGCCUUUGCAUGGGCUGGCCCAUACAGUGUGCUGGAUAUUCAGCCAGGGUGCAGAGCGUAAUAUAGGAGGUUUUUACAUGGGCCGGGCCAGUCUGAGAUUUUUCGCUUUGUGAAACAUUUUCUAUCACUUACCGGUGGCAUGAUGGGUAAUUUAUGCAAACUUCAGAAGAAAUUUUCAAGACGUACCAAAGAAGCAAUAGGUGCUUUAUUAAUAUACUUGUACAAAUGCCCGUGCGUUGCAACGGGAUAUAUAAUUGAUGUGUAUUUAUAUUUAGAUAGAAUUAUAUGGUCAAAACAAAAUGAUAGUUCAUGUAAAACUUAAUGGUCACCAAAAUCUAUAGACCCAAAUAAUAACAAGUUAUAUAAUGAUUUCAAAUGGACUUCAAAUUUGUUGGAGCUAUAAUUCAACAUCAUAUUCUAAGUUAAAAUGUAAGUGGUUAUCUUCAAUCCAGGCUUGACAUAUAUUCCACGGCGCUUGGAGAGGUGGUAUUGCCGUGUGUUGGGUUGCUAAUGAGCACGAGUUGUCAUUGAUCCCUGCCGUUGUCACACAAUAUUGAACAAUUUCACAAAACAAAAAUCGUAGGUAGCAAACUCUAGAGGCCCUAAAAACAUGUGUUUCAAUUGUGAAAGGAUGAUGCAUUUGUCAUCAACUUUUAAGGAUAAGACAUAGAGACUUUAGUUCACUUAGUAGCAUGAGAUUAAUAUUAAUCAAAACCAUAAAUAAUGAGAUCAUAAGGCUGAUUGACAUAUUAUUAUUACUUAUCGUUUUGGAAGAAGAGAGUGGAUAUACUUGGGGCUCAUUGACUUUAGUUGACUAAGUAACAUGAGAUUUGCUUUUAUUAUUGGGCUUGUUGAGAAUGACAUGACAAUUUGUUGUUAGCGCCGCUCCAAAAGAACGUUUUUAUAAUGUUGUGUGCAUCCUCAACCGUCUAAUAUGCCGGCCAGAGCCUUUUUUAUUCCCUUGAAAAUGUCUAUUGUGUAAAAAAAAAGUAUUAACUACUUUGAAACGAUUAACAUGAUUAAUUAUUUUUGUAAUAUAUGAAUAUUUUAAAAAGUAUUUAAUCUGCUAAAAAAGUGUAGAGAAGUUAAACAAAGAAUGCGGACUGAAUUAUUACACUGCGUGAAACAUGUACUCAUUAGAAAAGGAAAAAAGCAUAGAAAAGUAAAAAAAAAAAAGCAAAGGGUUUCGAACCUGGGUCUUCAGGUUAGAAGAGCAAGGCUCUCUCCAUCCCGCUAGUGUUCGACAGUUGAUAUAGAAUGGCAUAGGUCGCUAUAAGGAAUACGCGCGGGACGGUGACUUAAGGAAAACUGAAUCGUUUUUUGACUUACGGGUGGCAUGGUGGGUAAUUUAUGCCAAUUUCAGGGGUAGUUUGAUCAAUGUUUGAAGUAUGUACUUCAGCUAUUAUUUAUAUUAGAACUUUGUACUUUCGCUACGAACAAAUAUUAUUUACGCGUGAUAUUCGAUUAUUCAUCUAUAUAAUUGUCGUGCAUGGCGAUGGCGGGACAAGGUGGUACGACGCGAGAUGUUCGACGGAGGGGCGGCCUUCCACGCCACGGCGGCAGCGGCCGCGCUAAGCCACCAACAGCAGCAGCACGCAUAGUAUGGCGACCCCCGGGGCGGCGCCGGAGGCUCGUUCUACGAGAGCUAGGCGGGCGGGUCGUCGGAGCCCGAGCCGCAGGGGACCUCCGCCCGCCCACGUGGGAGAGGCGGGGNCCGGCAGCAAGCGCACCCGCAUCGCAGAGGUGCACAACCUCUCCCAAAAGGUGCUGGCCAUCCGUCACGAACCCUUCUCCCCUGACUUCGCUCUACUUUUCUGCUCUUUUCCCUUGUGUUCCCCUUCACGUCAGGUAAUUGAGCUUCAAACUAAGACAUCGCUACCCAAUUCAGACUUGGUUGCGGCAAUGAUUGCCAAGUAGAGAUUAAAAUCGCAUGAUACCGACCGGCUUGAUUUUUUUCGAACCGGGCUUUACCCCUUUCCAUUAUUAAUGAAUGGAAAUAUAUAAGUUUCAAAAAAACACGGGGAGGGAAAGGAGAAAAUCAAGUUUGAUACAUCACGAAAGGAAACCCAUUGUAACCGCUCGACAUUGAAACGGCCACUAUAGGACUAAAACCUGGUGACACAUAGCUCAAACAAACUACCAGCUAACAGUUCAGAUAGGAACGAAACNNNNNNNNNNNNNNNNNNNNNNNNNNNNNNNNNNNNNNNNNNNNNNNNNNNNNNNNNNNNNNNNNNNNNNNNNNNNNNNNNNNNNNNNNNNNNNNNNNNNUAAUGUACCGUAUUUAGUAUUGUUCCCGCAAAUAUAUAUAUAUAUAUUUGCGGGAACAAUACUAAAUACGGUACAUUAUUAAACUCAUCAUGAAAUAUAUUCUAGAAAUAUAUGUUGACUGCAUAAGUAAAAUAAUAUAGGGCAUUUGCUCUAGUGGUAGGAUUCUCGCUUAGGCCUUAUUUGAUACUAGUGUUUUUAAGAAGAUUGGUGGGAUAAUCCCCCAAGGGAUUGGGUGAAACCCCAACCUUCACCCAAUCCCUUCAAAUCCCCAUUUAUCCCCAAUACACUAGGUAGGGGUAGUGUAUUGGGUAUUGAGAAAAAUGCACUAUACUUUUGAGAUUUGAGGGAAAAUGUGGGGAUGAAACAUGUCAAAUACACUAGAACCAAAUGAUGUUAUGGAAUGUGUGGGGAUUGAAGGGUUUGACCGGGAUAAUCCCCACAAAUUCCCUAAAAUACAAGAGUACCAAACAAGGUCUUAGGGUGUGAGAGGUCCCGAGUUCAAUUCUCGGAAUGCCCNNNNNNNNNNNNNNNNNNNNNNNNNNNNNNNNNNNNNNNNNNNNNNNNNNNNNAUAUAUAUAUAUAUCGCAUGAUCUCCCAUCCAUCCCUAGGCUCCAUCCCUGCUCGGUUUAGUUCAUGAAUCCGUGAAAACCGCCUGUCAAAGACAUGAUGAAACCAACGAAGCACUAUAAAGUACAGCUAGCUGUCAAGACAUGCUGCGCCUUAAAAAUCUAUUGAAAUCUGUGGAAAUGUCAGUUCUGCACAUAUUCCCCCAAAGCAUACUCUUGUAGCUUUCCUCACUGAACAAGAGCUACAUUCGUGGUGGUUGACAAAUGCUAGCAAGGCUGCUCAUCAGUUCAAUUUGUAACAUAAAAUACAGGGAAUACCUUGAAGGAAGAAGGAAGCUUACCCGAAAUUUCUCAACCUUGCGCACAAACUGCUCAAAGGAGUAAUGAGGAUCAAGCGAGAGUGCCAGUCUCUGUAAAACCUGAUGAGAUUGCCAGGGUCCUCCAACUAAAUAUUUUUGGUCAUAUGCAACAUUGACAAGCUAUAAUCACCCCUCUAAAUAUUUUAGACUUUUGAUGAUGCAAGAGAGGCAAUAAAUAACUGUAAAUUUCCAGGGCGCCUUGUUUACUUUGUCUUUUGUAGAUUUUAUUUAGUAUUUGAUUCGAUUGCACAUAGAAGAGAGCACAUAUCAAAUACUAGUAAAAAGUGGAUUUUCAGCUCCCGGGUGCCUAGGCACCCUCUAUGAACAGUAAAAUGAAAACAAAAUAAGAAAAAUCUGAAACUUUACAGCAUCAAAGAUGAUGAAAUUUUGUAGGUGUUUGUAAGUUUUCAUGCCAAAAAACUAUUCGAGGAGCUAUACACACGGAAAAUAUUUCAAUACUUGAAGUUUUGAGCACUUUUAGCGCUGUAAUCUGAAAUUUGUUUGUACAUCUUUCUCUACAUGAUAUUUUGACAUAAAAACUUAUAUAAACCUAAAGAGUUUGAUCAUCGUUGAUGCUGCAAAGUUUCAGAUUUUUUUGAUUUUUUUUAUUAUUUUACUGUUCAUAGAGGGUGUCUAGGCACCCGGAAGCUAUCACACCUUUCUCAAAAAGAAAACAGGGAUCAAAACCAUACAGAUGUAGCAGAACCGGGGUCGCCAUGGGAAUUGGGGGAUGGAGAAGGAAAAAAGGUUCAGGGUGGUGGUGGUACCGGUGGACUACAGUCUGCAUUGUGUCAAGCCCGUCAUCUCGGAAAAGUAGAGGGAAGAGAAUUGCCCAUUGCACAGGAUGACAAGUCUAUGGUCACGAUGCACGGUUUUGCUCUUUUCGCAACAUGGCGGGGCUAUGUUCGAGGCUGCUCUUGGGAAGAUGCAUCUCCUUGUGCAGUUGAAACUGCAUGGUUAUGUGAUACCUUCUAUUAGAAAUAAUGGGCCUAGCCCAUAUGUAGAAUUUUUGAAAUCUCAAAAUACUUGUCAUUGAGAGCCUCAAUCAAGAUAUUCAAAAUUGAGCAAAUUUGUUCUCUAGUGCCCAAUCUCAUAUUUGGACUAAGGCCUGUUUGGAUGGGAUCCUCACUCUACUACGCCUGGCCUGCAGUCUCCCGAAACCUGCCUGUUGUAAUGGGUAGUAUCAUAUACUAGUAUCAUGCAUAUGAUACUAGUGCAUGAUACCAUAUCCGUAAUGCAUAGUAUCAUAUGUUAGUAUCAUAGAGUGGUUUAUUUAUUGUCAUGAAAGACACAUAGUAGCACAUCAUUUAAUAUGAUACGGUAUCAUAAUAUGAUACUCAAUCCUCUCUUUCUUUAUUUAAUUCUAUGCCACCUCAUCAAAAUUGCUUAAUUGGCAUGCAUGAUACUACCUAUGAUACUCCCAUUACGGGCAGCCUCAGGAUUGUUUGGUUGCUGUCCAAAUGAACACGAAGCAGCCUGGCCUGCUGUUGCCAGUGCCUUGCUUAGCCUGGCACAUACCCCCAGGCAUGUUGGUUUGCGACAGGGCCUUAUACUCCUCCUGCCCAAGGAUGGCGGCAUGGGACGCUUUCUUCUAGUGGCGGCGAGGCACGGUGACGUGACGACACGGGCUGGCGGCGGUGGUUGCUGGUCGUACGUGGCGUCGGCCUCUCCUGGGCUGGUGGCGGGGUCUGGUGUAUGGUUCUCUGGUGGUGUCGCUGGUGCUUGCCGGCGGCCUCGCUGCUCGCGCGACGCGGGUGCUGGCAGGUCAGGCAGCGGCGGCCUGGAGCCUACUUUCAGUCCUCCGUGGAGAUGACGGCGAUCCGUACAUAAGACUUGAUGGAGGUUUUUCGAACAGAUCUAGGAUGCCAAGGCCGGUGAUGGCGGCACUCUUCUGUGUAUUCUCUUCUUGAAGACAUCAUCGUGGAGAAGUUCCAUGCCUCUUUUGUUAACUCCGAGGAAAACCCUAGAUUGGUAGAUCGAAGGACGGCGACGCUCUUGCGUCGUUUUCUCCUUGGGGCGUCAGUCUUGGAGGUGUGCAUGGGCUCGAGGGACCAGCAAACAUCGUCUUUUGUUGAUCAAUGUUUCAUCUUACGCAUCGACGACUGUGGAUCUCGACGGCGGGGCGUAGUGCAGUCUCGGCGUUCGAUGUGUGUAGAUGGACUUACGCAGAAGGAUGGUGUAGCCUGGCGUCGUGGUGGCAUCGAUGGCAGACCUGGCAAGGUCGUGGCGUCAGUAUCUGCUCUGAGGGUGGAUCGGUGGAAGGCGGCAGCGGCGGUCUCUUGGAGUGCGCCAGACAUGUGGCUCCCGGACCAGGUAUAUGGCUUGGAUGGGGCCUUCGGUUUUAGAUGUUAGGCUUAGGUGCGAGGUCUGUUUGGUAUUAUGCUCGGACUAUCGGCACCCCUUCAUCAAUUGCUUAGGAGUAGCGACAGAUGUUGUCAAUAUGGUGGCUUCAGACUUACCGUUGUACUACUUUAUAUGGUCUUUAUGAAUAAUUAAUAAAAUGAUUGUAUGCAUCGUUCAGAUGCAGACGCCGGGGGUCUUCCUCCUUUUCUAAAAAAAGUAUCUCCUGAAAACCAAGUUUGAAGACCAAAGCUAACAUCUCUCAUGUACAUUUUUUCUUUUAUUUUAUAUUUAUAUCUAUCCCAAAAAAAAUGUUGUUUCAUCAACAUGAGAGACAAACCUGUCUUUUCAUUUCUUAGCUAAAUGGUAGUGUGGCCAUUUCUCAUCCAAACAGCUACUUAUAAGCCGUCAUGUUCCUCUUUUGCUCUCCCAAAACAGAACAAUUCACUUUUUGUUAAAGUUGAUUUUAAGUCCAGACAAUUGUUUAAAAAGACACAACACUAGCUUCAUGUUUCUAGCUUUUGCAAGAUCGUGUUUCAUAAAAAUUAUCGUGUCAUCCGCAUACUGUAGUAUGGAAACUCCCCCGUCUACAAGGUGUGGGAUUAGUCCUCCUACGUGACCAUUCUCUUUAGCCCGACCAAUAAGGACAGCCAACAUAUCCGCUACUAUGUUGAACAAGACUAGGGACAUUGAAUCACCCUGUCGCAGUCCCUUAUGGGUCUGAAAAUAAUGACCUAUGUCAUCAUUAACUUUAAUGCCAACACUACCUUUCUAAAUGAAAGAGGACACCUGAUCCAUCCAGGAUUCAUUGAAUCCUUUCAUACGCAAGGCCUGUUGAAGGAAUGGCCAUUUGACGUUAUCAUAGGCCUUCUCGAAAUCGACCUUAAAAAUAACCCCUUCAAGCUUCUUUUUGUGAAUUUCAUGCAAUGUUUCAUGUAAGACGACAACCCCCUUUAGUAUGUGUCUUCCAGGCAUGAAAGCAAUCUGAGUCGGUUAAACGACAUACUCGGCUAUCUGUGUUAGCCUAUUCGUAUCAACCUUUGUGAAGAUUUUGAAACUCACAUUAAGCAGACAAAUCGGCCUGAACUGCUCAAUUCGAAUAGCUUCCACUUUUUUUGGCAACAACGUUAUUGUUCCGCAAUUUAGGUGAAAAAGCUUAAGCUGACCAUCAAACAAGUCAUGAAACAUCGGCAUAAUAUCAUCCUUUAUAAUAUACCAACAUUUUUGUAAAACUCGGCUGGAAACCCAUCCGGUCCUGGUGCCUUGGUUGGUUUCAUUUGUGCUAUUGCGUCAAACACCUCCUUCUCUGUAAAUGGUGCUGAGAGAAUAUCAUUCUCAUCCGAAUUGAGCUUAGGUAUGUCACCAUUUUCAUUCUCAUCUAGAGAAACAAAGUUGUGUUCCGGUUCACCAAAAAGCUUCUUAUAAUAUUGUGAUAUGUACAAUUUUAGGUUCUCGUGCCCUAUGAUUGUGCCCUCAUCUUUUUCUAGCUGAAUAAUUUUCUUUUUCCUAUGUUUGUCAUUCGCAAUCUUGUGAAAAAAGUGUGUGUUGUCAUCUCCAUGCACUACCUUGGACACCUUUGCUUGAAGGGCCCAUUUAAGAUCCUCCUCUCUGAGAAGGAUUUGCAGUUUCUUCUCAACCUCUGUUUUAAUAUCCCGAUCUAAUUUGCUUAGAAGUGAACUUUCAGCUUUCACAUCCAUCUCAUUAAUGAUAUUUAUAAGUCUAUCUUUUUCUACUUUAUAAAUACCAGAUUGAUUAUUUGCCCAGCCACUCAAAAACUGGCGUAAGUGUCUAAUUUUGUUUUGGCACCUGUCCAUAUUAGAGGAUCCACCAUAGUCUCCUGCCCAUUCAGAGGCAAUGAGAUCCAUGAAGCCUUCUCGCUCGAACCAAAUUAAUUCGAAAGUGAAAUUAUUCUUAUUUCCUACAUGUGUCGCUUCCCGCUUCCCGAGAAUCGACUAGUAGUCGUGUGUAAUCUGAAAUUGCCAUGUGCAUAGCAUGUAGUGUGACAAGUGGGUAUUUAUGCUCCCACUCAAUGCUAGUUAGAACUCUAUCUAACUUCUCAUAUGUUGGCAUUGGUAAAGAGUUGGCCCAUGUGAAUUGUCUACCCGUGAGGUCAAUCUCCCUCAAAUCAAGACUGUCAAUAAUCAUACUGAACAUGAAUGACCAUCUUCCAUCGAAAUUGUCAUUAUUUUUGUUCUUCUUUCUUCCUUAUGAUAUUGAAAUCUCCCCCAACCAGAAUAGGAAGCCUUUCAUUACCACAUAUUCUCACCAAAUCCGCAAGAAAAUCAGAUUUUAGCUCCGGUUGGGUCGCCCCAUAUAUAGCCACCAGAGCCCAUCUGAAACCAUCAACCUUCGAUCUUACAUGAAAUUUGACGGCGAACUCCCCAUACACGACACUUAAAACCUCUAAUGUGUCACACUUAAAACCAAGCAGGAUCCCACCAAAUCUAUCUCUUGGUGGAAAGCAGUGCCAAUAAAAGUCAACUCCUCCAGUAAUGUUUCUAAGAAAUUGCGACGUAAAGUUGUACCUAACCGUUUCUUGCAGCGCCAAAAAAUAGAGCUUAUGCUCACGUGUAUCCUCCCUAAAAAAUCUUAUUUUAGCCAAGCCUGCUAGACCUCUUCUAUUCCAGAAGAUUCCUCUCAUAUUUCAUCAUGGAAUUUUUAUUUUUUUAACUCACGCACUUCUCCGAACAGCUGAUACAGGAUACACCUUCCUCUUCCAAGGUCUCUUAGGUUUAACAUGUAUCAUGCUGUCGUGAUCAUUGGUGGGUGUAUCAUGAAGAAGGUUGUUAGGCAUCGAAGGGGCCAUAUACCCCUCUGAUCCCAAUACUUCCUCUUCCACCUCCUCACCCUCCUCUUCCAUUACGUCCUCACAGAAGUUCGAUGAUUUUGUGACACCUAGGUUACUAGGCCAUAUACCCCUCUGAUCCCAAUAUCAUUCUCAUCCACUGGUUUAAUUGCUGCUGAGUUUGUGAUGAUUUCCAUGGCUCUAUCUGCUUCUAGAUCUAGAAUGUCAUUAACAGAUUUCGCUACUUCGCUUUCAUUACUCCCAAGAGAUAUUCCUAGAUCAUUAGCCCUCUCUACGAUCGCAUGCUCAGAAAAAUGGAGAAUUGAAUAAUCAGUAUUAACUGACAUACCUGUGUUUUCUUCGAUAUCACGAAGCUUGGCGGCUCUCAUAGUAUGCCCCAUAUGUAUGUCGUCAGCAUCGGGAUGUCCCUGAAUACGGUGACUGAAUCGCCGCUCUCCAGUAGAGGGAUCCGGAAUUCCUUCGAAUGUGAUUGCAUCCUCUAUGGAUGCCCCCGGCGAUUUAAGACCUCCUAUCUCAUCGCCGUCGUCGUUUGAGCAUAUAUCGUGACCUGCAUCCAACGUUUCAAAUGUAGCCGAUAUCAAUGGAGUCUCGCCGUCCCCUGAUAUCGAGGCCGACAGGUUAAUUGUUUCCACUGUCGCCAUAUAUGCGCCGGUAAACCAUUCAUGUUGACGCGCCUGUGGGUGGCCAAUCUCACCAUGGACAGAAGACAGGGACUGACACCAAGCCACCGCGCUGGCCUCCUGGCCACGAUCUGAUGGCUUGGAAGCUGCACCAAAAUCCGGUGUUGUCUGUGCGGCGUGCUGCACCACAAGGUCGCCACCGUGAUCAACAUGAUCCCCCCACAACUGGCUCGGCACAGACAUGGGGAAAGAGCCAAAGCGGAGAGAAGCCAUGCGUGUCGAUGAAGAGUCAUUACCCCUUUCAUGUGACGAAGCAGAAGAUUUUGAUUGUUGAGAUUUCUGGCUUUUUGAGAACCCAUCAUCAUAAGUCCCAUUUUUCUCAUCAUUUCCAUUGCCUCCAGCACCAUCGCCAUCAUCCAUCAUAUCUACAUCACCAUUCGCAUCGUCAUUUACACGCUUUGGUGUUUCCUCAACUACCACAUCUAGAUCUUAAUGCAAACCAUCAUAUGACCAUGGAACAAAAUCUGGCAGAAACUCGGAUCCAACACCCCAACAAACAGCCUCGCAAUCUCAUGUUUGCGUGUGAACGACAUAUCCACCUUAUCCGUCUUACCAAGCAGAGUGCCUAGACUCCAGACAAUAAGGAAGUCAUUGAGGAGUGCCUUUGAAACUCCAAGGAAUUUGAUCCAAGCCUUCUCAAGAGGUAAAUAGAAACAUAGAAAAUAGAAAAAAAAUAGAAAAGGAGGAUUACCCCGCCUCUGCAUCUGGGGAUGCAUGCAGUCAUAUAGAAAAUAUAAGAUGGUGUCAACUAAGCUUAUUUUCAUUGGCUACUAACUAAUUAUAUAUGUUGCUGCCCACGCAACAGCAUUAUUGGUGAUGGGCAUGGUUAAUGCGAAGCAUUGGCCGAUACUAUAUAAGAUGGGUUUUUUUAUGGAUUAUACGUAGCUGGUUUGCUAUGCCCUGGUGACUGAAAAGACUAGGGGAAUAAGGUUAUUUUCUCCGGAAGAACUUUGAUGCCAUCCGUGGAUAUUUAUUAAUUUAUGCUGGUUCAUAUUUUAGAUUGCCAAGUUGCAGUGGUUUUCCUUAAUGAUUGUUAUUUAUUUAUUUUUGUUCUCAUGGAAGUAUUAGUGUGAUUGGAGGCGUCGACAAUAUUUUUCCCGUUCAGUAACUGUAUACACAUGUUCCACACAGAUUGGAAGAGAAUAGUAUAUAUUUCUGCAAGCAAUGCUACUUCACACAGAUUGAUUUUCAUUACAGUUGAGAUUCACUACCUACAUGCAAGAAAUCCUGCUGUACAUAUAAAAAUGGUAAAAAAAAACAAUCUGUUAUAUGUAAAAAUGGUAAAAAAAAUACAAAAAAUGGGGCAUUCCGAGAAUUGAACUCGGGACCUCUCGCACCCUAAGCGAGAAUCAUACCACUAGACCAAAUGCCCUCUGAUGUUGUAAAUUUACAAAUUUCUUUACAUAUUCUAUGGCUAGCGUAGAUGUGUGAGUACUCAUAACACGACGAUCUGAAUCAGGAAACUUGCUGUUGGCUUUUGAGAAAAUUUUGUACUCGGUUAUUCUUCAGUUAAUCAGUACAGCAACUGUUCUUUGACUGCAUAGUGGCCAGAAUUCUUUGGAUCCUGUGUCUGAUAGCUUUAAUUAUAACCUAUCUAUUUAUUAUCUGAUGUCACGGCUUUGUACUGAAAAACAACCUAAGAAAAAAUGUUGUUCUAAACUUGGUCUAUGCUGCCUCCCUGUGGAGUUUGUGCAUCGCCAGGACCUACCUCCCCUUGUGAGUGCAAGCUAUGAAGAACAGUGACGGUCUUUGAUCUUCCAUUCUGACUGCCUUCAGCGGGGCUGAUUCUGUAGAAGUGCAUGCUCUAACCAAUGCAAUCAAAAGACAUGGAAGAGACUAGGCACCACAUUAUACGUCAACACUCCCCCUCACGUGUGGCUCCCUCAGGCCUAAACGUGGACCAAAAAUGGGCUGCAAUUUAAGUGCGCCAGCCCGGUCUUGAACUCAAGACCUCUUGGCUUUGAUACCAUGUACAAGUGCAUGCUCUAACCAAUGCAACCAAAAGACCGAUCUAAGAUGAAAGAGACUAGGCAGCACAUUAUACGUCAACAGAUUCCACUCUCUGUUUCCCUUUGUUAAGUAUCCAUUUACGUUCUCCAGGUUUGUAAGUUUGGAGUUGUUCUAGCAUCUCUUUUAAGCAUCGUCUGGUUGAUGUUUACCUGGCUGGCUACCUUUGGUAGUUUGGUUAUGCCUGGGUCUCUUGCUUGGUUUCAUUGAUGGAAAUGGAGCCGGGGUGAAACCCCUUUAUUUCAAAAAAUAAUAAUUAAUCCCAAGGUUGUCUAUAGAGAAGAAAUGCUCUUGUGGUGACAUUUCCAUAAGAGGAAGAGUGACUGCAACCAUGAUCUAUUCAAUAGGUGUACAACGAUUCAUAUACAGCUGAUGACUAACUAACUCCCUACAUGCAAGGAGUGGAUGAGUACCAAGGCGUGAGACUAGCUCCAAUGGUUACAACGGUUUACAAAUGUAUACAGGGGACAUAUUACAACUCAACACCCCCCCCCCCCGCAGUCCAAACGUCACUACGUAAGACGUUCAGACUGGCUCUAAAAUCACAGAAGAUAGUCGAAGGCAGCCCCUUGGUGAAGAUAUCUGCAAACUGCGAAGCGGUCGGAACGUGAAGCACUGUGGCUUGACCAAGGGCAACACGAUCGCGAACAAAAUGAAGAUCAAUCUCAAUGUGCUUCGUCCGUUGAUGCUGCACUGGGUUGGAGGAGAGAUACACUGCACUAACAUUGUCACAAUAGACGACUGUGGCGCGAGUGGGAGGUCGUCGGAGCUCGAUGAGGAGUUGUCGCAACCAGCAGGACUCAGCAACACAGUUGGCCACGGCACGGUACUCGGCUUCGGCACUGGAACGCGAGACUGUGUGCUGUCGUUUGAAGGACCAGGAGAUUAGGUUGGAGCCCAAGAAGACAAAAAAGCCAGACGUGGACUUGCGAGUGUUGGGACACCCGGCCCAGUCAGCAUCACUGUACGAGAUGAGAUCAUGCGGCGACGAGCGGAAGAGCUGGAGGCCGUAGUGGGUAGUGCCACGGAGGUACCGCAAGACGCGCUUGAUCAGCUGAGAGUGGGUGUCGAGAGGAGCAUGCAUGAACAAGAAAAUCUCCUGGGCCGCAUAGGUGAGAUCCGGCCGAGUGAGGGUGAGGUACUGAAGGGCUCCGGCGAGGCUGCGAUAUUUGGAGGGGUCCGAAUAAGGUUUGCCACCGGUGGAGGAGAGUUUGGAGCUAGUGUCAAUGGGUGUCGAGAUGGGAUGGCAGUUAAGCAUGUUGGCACGAUCCAGAAUCUCAAGCGCAUAUUGUUCCUGAGAUAAGAAAAGGCCAGCGGUGUUGCGGUGCACAUUGACGCCAAGAAAGUGAUGGAUAUCGCCAAGAUCACUCAUGGAAAACUCGCGAGUGAGGUCCGCGACCAGGGACGUCAGGAGGGACGUGGUGCUCGCGGUCAAGAUGAUGUCGUCGACAUAUAAGAGUAAAUAUGCCAUGGUCGAUCCCCUGUGAAGGAUGAAGAGGGAGGUACCACACUUGGAGGAUGCAAAAUCGAGAGUGUGGAGGAACCGCGUGAAUCGGAGGAACCAAGUACGCGGAGCCUGUUUAAGACCAUAGAGAGACUUGUUAAGGCAACAAACAUGCGUGGGGCGAGAGGAGUCAACAAAACCGGAGGGUUGCUGGCAAUAGACGGUCUCAGCAAGAUCACCAUGAAGAAAGGCAUUUUUGACGUCCAUUUGCCGAAUCGCCCAGUUGUUGGUCGUGGCGAGACUGAGCACCACACGGAUCGUAGCGGGUUUGACAACGGGACUAAACGUCUCGCCGUAAUCAACCCCGGCCUGCUGGGUGAAACCCCGGACCACCCAUCGCGCUUUGUACCGAGCCAAGGAGCCGUCUGGAUGAAGUUUAUGCCGAAAGAUCCACUUCCUGAUCACCACGUUAACACCUGCAGGGCACGGCACCAAAGACCAAGUGUCAUUCCGAAUUAGUGCAUUAUAUUCGUCUAGCAUCGCAUUGUGCCAAUGGGGGUCUUUGAGAGCUGUUCGGUAGGAAGAGGGAAGCGGAGAGGGAUCAGUGGUAACGGACAGAUCAAAGACUUGCGAGGGCAUGGAAAAACCGCGUUUGCCACGCGUGACCAUGGGGUGCGGGUUGUGACGAGGUGGAACUGGGACGGCACGAGGCGGAAGCUGGCGAGCUGGACGCGGCAGCGAGCGGGAAGCGGGCGACGAGGCUGGACGCAGGGCACUGCGAGGGGAGAAUGGGGAGGAGCCCGUGGGAGUGGGCGUGCAUGUAGGAGGUCGGUACGUAGGCGUGCAUGCAGGGGGUGGGGAGGUUAUGUGGUCUUGCAUGGGAGCGGGCCCCGAGGGGUGCGGUGAGCGGGGCGCGAGACGCAGGGAGCGCGCGCGUGGAUGGGGCAGGGGGUUGGUGGUGGUUCGUGGGGUGUGGUUGGUUGCAUGGGACGCGGUUGGUGGUUACGUGGGGUGUACGCCAUGUAUGGAUCGGGAAGGCAGGCGCCAUGCGCAGGUGCGGAAGUGGCGGCGGGCAGCGGGUCAGCUGCGGAUGUGUACGGGAAGCAGUUUUCAUCGAAAACAACAUGACGGGAAACGAUGACUUUGCGCAAAGUUAAGUCAAAGCAGCGGUACCCCUUCUAUUCACGUGGAUAGCCGAUGAAGACACGGCGGGUGGAGCGUGGCGCGAGCUUGUGCGCAGCGGUGGUGGAGAGGUUUGGAAAACACAAGCAGCCAAAGGUGCGGAGGUGAUCGUAGGUGGGGUGGACUCCAUGGAGAAGGAAAUGAGGGGUAAAGUGGUGAAUGGCACGGGACGGCCGUAUGUUGAGGAGUGUAGUGGCGGUGUGGAGAGCCUCAACCCAAAACGGGGGAGGGAGCUGUGCCUGAAAUAAAAGAGUGCGGAUGACAUUGUUAGUGGUGCGGAUAUGUCGUUCAGCCUUGCCGUUUUGGGGGGAGGUGUGGGGGCAAGUUAGACGGAAGGAGAUGUCGUGGGAGGAAAGGAAGGCACGGAGCGUCGUGGUAAGGAAUUCACCGCCAUUAUCACACUGCAAACAUUGCACAACAACAUGAAACUGGGUGAGAAUGAACUUGAAGAAUCGUUGCAACGUGGCACAAGUAUCGGAUUUGGCACGGAGAGGAAACGUCCAAGAGUAGUGAGUGAAAUCAUCCGAAAUAACAAGGUAAUAUUGAUAACCCGAAAAACUGAGUAUCGGAGAGGUCCACAAAUCACAAUGCAAAAGUUGGAAUGGCGCGGUGGUGUAUGAGUUGGAGGUGGGGAAGGGUAGACGGGUGUGUUUGCCUAGUUGGCAUGCGGUACAGAGAGAGUAUUUGGGAGCAUUAUUACAUUCAGUGGGAACUUCAAAAGGAAAAUAAACUAUCGAAGAGGCUCCAGGGUGUCCGAGCCGUUUAUGCCAAAGAUCCGAAGUGGAGACGGCGUAGGCCUUCGAGGGAGUGCCGCCAUGAGCACCAGAGAAGUGGUAGAGGUCACCAUCACUAUUGCACCUCAGAAGCACUUCCCUGGUGUGAAGAUCCUUCACGCAAAAACCGAAGGGGUCAAACUCCACAGAGGCAAUAUUAUCACGAGUGAAUUUGCGCAUGGAUAUGAGAUUCUGAACCACGUUGGGAGACACAAGUAUAUGAGUGAGAUAGAAAGGACGAGGAGGAAGGCGAGUGUUACCGACGGCGAUGACGGGAACACGAGCCCAUUACCAACAAUGAUGUGACGAGUAUUAUGCGCUAAGAGGGGAUGAGACUCGAUCAAGUUACCUGGGUCCCCGGUGACGUGUGAGGAGGCACCCGUGUCCAUGAUCCAAUCGGCAUGAGGAGGGAACGCCGAGCCGUGGCUGGAGGCGGCGUGGUACAUGGCGCCCGUGUGCCACGAGUGCGGCAGCACGGCGUAUGGAGCUGGCGGCGGUAGAGUCGGAGGACCGGAGUGCAUCACAGGAUAGGCGUGAUGUGAUGCGCCAGGAUGGGGGCCGAGGACGCCGGCGGAGUUGGGCGCGACCCAAGGAGACCAUGGUGGCGGAAAGGGCGUCCCCAUGGGGGCAAAGUACCCCAGCCAGGGCUGAGGUCCACGGCCGCCGUGGCCCUGGUAGCCGCCGCGCCCCUGAUCGCCAGCAUAGCCACCGCAUCCACCUCCUCCAGCGCGAUCGCCGCGGUCGCCACCGGAGCGAUCUCCACGGUCACCAUGGUCGCCACUGCGUCCGCCACGGCCGUCAAGGCCGCGAUCGUCGUCGGAGCGGACGGAGUGAACCUGAGCCCCCUCGACGCGAGCCCGCUUGUCCAGGGCCAUCUCGGCGAGCACCAGCCUGGGCGAACGACGGCAGGGGCACGGUGGACUGGAUGAUGGCAGCCUGGAGGUCGAACUUCUUGCCGAGGCCAUCCAGCAUCUGCAGAGUGAGGGUUCGGUCCGAAACCGGCUCCCGGACGUCAGCCAGGGCGGAGGCGGGACCUUGAAGGCGGCGACAGUACUCGUUGAUGGAGAGGUCGCCACGCACACACGCCCGGAACUCCUGGCCGAGGUGCAUGGCGUUCUCAGCUUCAUUGUCGAGAAAGUAUUCAUGAAGACGAGACCAGAUGGUGUGAGCGGUGGAGCCCGGUGGCGCAACGACGUCAAGAAGGUCGUCGAAGAUGGUGGAGAAGAACCAAAGAACGAUGGUGUUGUCGUCGUCUCUCCACGAUGGAUCAGAGAGGCGGGAGACGGCACCAUCCUAGACGUGAGACUCCGCAUGGAAACGGGAGAGGAAGAGGUUGAUGUAGUUCCUCCACCGGGCGAAGUUGGAGCCGUCGAGCGCGAUUUUGAAGUCGACAACACUCGUGAUGCUGGGAGGAAGAACGGUGGAAGGCGUCACAGCAGAGGGGGUGUCAAAGAAGGGUUGCUGCAGGGUGGGGUUGGGAGUGGUGGCAGCGAGUGGGAGCUCGGGCGGCUGAGCAAGAUCGGUGAGCUGGGCACGAGGGCGCUCGUCCGAGCCAGCCGGGAGCUCCUGAUCUGGGAGCGUCCCUAGAUCGCCGGCAGCAGCGUCCGCGGCGCCAGCGGCGGCUGCGGCGGCGGCGGCGAGUGACGGAGGGUCAGUGGCCAUGGGAGAGAAGGAGAGAACCAAGGCUCUGAUUACCAAGAGGAAGAGUGACUGCAACCGUGAUCUAUUCAAUAGGUGUACAACGAUACAUAUACAGCUGAUGACUAACUAACUCCCUACAUGCAAGGAGUGGAUGAGUACCAAGGCGUGAGACUAGCUCCUAUGGUUACAACGGUUUACACAUGUAUACAGGCAACAUAUUACAACUCAACGCCAUAUGUGUCAAAUGUUUUAUUCAGGUCGAGUAUUUAUCUAUUGGGUUCGAACCCAAGCCGUGCCCAUUUCCUCCUAAUUUCUUUUCAUGCUCCCAUGACAAGUGGGGCCACACAUUUGAAAGAGAUAGAGAAAGGGAGCUGACAAGCCGGACCAAGGAUAUGUUUUCAUAUAUUUUAGGCAACGUGUUUUGAUUUUUUUUUUAUAAAAGAAAUAUAUUAAUAUCGCGAAGAUAUCAAUUACACCCAACCUCUGCACCAACAAGACAUCAAGGAUGCACACAGCCAAGAACAAAAAUUCGAGCUGGGGUAGUGCAAGGAGGUGAUAAACCAGGAGGGCUUCAUCACCAAGCGCAUUAACAAGCUCCGGGACCAGGUUGACAAGACCCGCCGCGAUUGGUGUGAGAUCAGGUACCUCCUGUACAAAACCAUGCAUGGCGACCUCUCGGGCCUCAUUGGCCUCAACAUCGAGGAGCUCACAGAGUUAACUACAACGUGGAUGUGCUUCUUGUUAGCUUUAGGGGGUGUUUUUUUACAUGGACUUUUUGCUCUACGGACUAAAAAAAGUCCCUUUUAGUCUCAUCUGAAAGAAACAGUAGGGAUUUUUAGGGACUAAAAAAGGGUAUUUGGGACUAAAGGAAGAAGUCCUCAUGGAAAGAUCUUUUUAAGAUUUUUUUUUACAUUUUUUCCAACAGUGUUCUUACUUUUAGCAUGUCAUUUAAUAACUUAUAGUAUAUUAUUAGAAGUAACAUGGUCUUUUUGCAUGUCAUUUAAUGACCUCUAGUCCAUGUUUAGUCCUUGAAAAGAAAUGGGUAGGGACUAGGACUUUUUAGUUGGAAUAAAAAAAAGUUCUAAGACUUUUUAAAAAACAGGGCCUUAAUCUUGAUGAGAUGCCGAUGGUGCCGUGUGAUACGGCGACGCGGCAAAAGACGUGAUGAAGGCUGGGACAUGACAGACCAUGUCAGGUUGGCUUGAGUGACCCAAGAGGUCGCUUAGUUGGUUAGAGCAGUUGUGCAUGUGCUAGUUUGUUAGUCGUUUUGAUGUGGAGUGAUUCCAGGGAGAGCUGAACGUGGGCAAGCAGGUUGUUAGCUGCAUGUGAUUUGUUAGCUAGCUUCAUGGAAUGACUCAAGUUCGUUAGUGCAUGGAUGAAGUUGUUAGUGGAGUAAUGGGUCAAGUAGUGGCGUGAGUAUUGCAUGGCAGCCGUGCCAGCCUCUGUGUCUAUAUAAGUGCUUUGUGUAAUGAGAAAAGGGAACCGUGAGGGCAGCGGCAAAAUGUAGUCUCUUGUUUUCAUCAAGGAGGUGAGGCUCUCGUGCAAAGCUGCGCUGGUCUUCUCCUUGGUGUGUGCGUGUGUGUUCUUGAGAGAAGAUAGAGAGAAACCACAAGAAAGUGAUGAUAGGAAGAAGAAGAGCGGCGCUGCAAGGAGGCGACGCCACCACUUCUCAAGAGCAUCACCGAACGCAUGGCAAAAAUCCAUUCCCAGGUGUUGCCGCCACCAGCUCCAUGUGUCGCCGCCGGCAACAUAGACAUGGGGUCUCCCGCGUUGUAUCCGGCACCACCUCAGCAGCAGGAGGGCCGGCUUGACAUGGUGAGCUCUGGAUGGGACCUCUACACCCUGGUCUACGGUGGCUACACAGUGACAGCUUCUCUAGCAACGAUAUGAUGAUGCAGAUAUGGGGUUCGGUUCGAUUCCUUUCCCUCGCAUGUAAGCCAGGAGGUCCGAUAGCAUCUCGUUUUUAUUUGGCUUUGGUGGUUAGUACUACUAUGAGACAUUCAGUUAAUUUCAUGAAAUUGUUAUAUUCGUCUAUGUCCGUCGUUGUAUUCAUCGUGUUCUUUGAGCUAAAUCAUAUUUAAUUCCAAUGCAAUCAUUCAAAUCGAUAUUCAGUUGGUCUCUUCCCUAGGUUACUCUGUUUGAUCUUUGCUGUUUACUUGGUCGUAAACCUUGAGUUGCACCAUUUGCUCGUCAAGACGGCAUCGUGGCCGAUCCAAGGUGACAAGGAGACAUGGUGGCCGAUCCUCUUUCCAGCACNNNNNNNNNNNNNNNNNNNNNNNNNNNNNNNNNNNNNNNNNNNNNNNNNNNNNNNNNNNNNNNNNNNNNNNNNNNNNNNNNNNNNNNNNNNNNNNNNNNNUUAAACUCAUCAUGAAAUAUAUUCUAGAAAUAUAUGUUGACUGCAUAAGUAAAAUAAUAUAGGGCAUUUGCUCUAGUGGUAGGAUUCUCGCUUAGGCCUUAUUUGAUACUAGUGUUUUUAAGAAGAUUGGUGGGAUAAUCCCCCAAGGGAUUGGGUGAAACCCCAACCUUCACCCAAUCCCUUCAAAUCCCCAUUUAUCCCCAAUACACUAGGUAGGGGUAGUGUAUUGGGUAUUGAGAAAAAUGCACUAUACUUUUGAGAUUUGAGGGAAAAUGUGGGGAUGAAACAUGUCAAAUACACUAGAACCAAAUGAUGUUAUGGAAUGUGUGGGGAUUGAAGGGUUUGACCGGGAUAAUCCCCACAAAUUCCCUAAAAUACAAGAGUACCAAACAAGGUCUUAGGGUGUGAGAGGUCCCGAGUUCAAUUCUCGGAAUGCCCCAUCCUUUUACUUCUUUUUUAAUUAUUUUUCAUGCAUGUACUAUAGUAGAAUUUCUUUCAUAUUGCUAUCCAAGUAGAUGACUUCAAAAUCAAUCGAUCUGUGUUUACUAGCAUUCAAUUCUUCUUUUUUUUUGCCAUUACAUAAUUUUUCAAUCUCUUCAGGCUUCGAGUGAAACCACACAGCAUUCAGUUUAGAGAUACUCCCUCCGUUCCUAAAUAUAAAUCUACACACGGCCUAUCCCCCGCGUCGCCUACCCGAGCAAGGCGGUCAGGGGCUCGUCCCCUUCCCCCCUUCCAGCGCUCCCCCUCUCCCUCACCUCCUCCUGCUGCCGCCAGCGGGCGCCACCAGGCCAUGCUCGUGUGGUGCCGGCGAGUUCAAUUCUUGAAAUGCCCCAUCCUUUUACUCCUUUUUUAAUUAUUUUUCAUGCAUGUACUAUAGUAGAAUUUCUUUCAUAUUGCUACCCAAGUAGAUGACUUCAAAAUCAAUCGAUCUGUGUGAACUAGCAUUCAAUUCUUCUUUUUUUGCCAUUACAUGAUUUUUCAAUCUCUUGAUGCUUCGAGUGAAACCACACAACAUUCAGUUUAGAGAUACUCCUUCCAUUCCUAAAUAUAAAUCUACAUACGGCCUCUCCGCCGCGUCGCCUACCCGAGCAAGGCGGUCAGGGGCUCGUCCCCUUUCCCCCUUCCAGCGCUCCCCCUCUCCCUCACCUCCUCCUGCUGUCGCCAGCGGGCGCCACCAGGCCAUGCUCGCGUGGUGCCGGCGGCGGCGGGUCUGUCCUUCCCUACGCGCGCCCCCUGCUUGGGCGGUGGCGGCUGGCGGCAGUGUCUUUCGACCGGCGGUAGUGUGGCCUGGCGGCGGCGAUGUCGCGUGCCACGGUGGCUCUCAACGCGGCGAGACAUCCGUUGGUCGUGGGGCAGCACUGGUGGCUAGUGGCGCCCGCCCGACCCAAAUCUGGGCCCGUUUGGGCCCAUCUGGUUUGGGGCAGGUCGGUUGCUCAGCGUUCGACGGAGUCACUCCCUGGUGGUGAGGCGAGGCGGCGGCGGUCUACGGGCAUUGACCACCUUGUCGAUCGGUAAGUUGCAGCGCGGGGAUAGGGACUGUCCUUUCCCAAGUGGGCCCGGCCGAGCCGUGAGGUCCUCGCAAGUCCUCGUCACCAUGUCCGGUCAGCUCCGCAUAGGCGGUCGAGGUUGUCCCCAACCACCGAUCAAGUUGUGGUUGCUCCCGUGGCCGUUGUCUCCUUCCCCCCUCUAGGCCUCGUGUUGAUAGCUCCAGAGAGACGACGAGGAUGAUCCGGUAACCUUUGUGGCACAGGCUGGUGAGCGGAUGAGUGGGUGGUGCACUACGAAGUGUCUGGAGUGGUGGUGGUGGUUGUGGAUCGGGAGAAAUCCUUGACGACUUGCCCGACACCGACGAGGCGACGCCUGCGGGCGCCGCCGGACCUUCCUGAAGGGUGCCGGGUAUAUCCCUCCUCCACUGCCCUCCGCGUACUGGGGGAAACCCUAGGACUUGUUCGGGCAACAACGACAACAUUGUCGCAUUCCUUCUUGAAGGUGUUGUUUGGUGCGCGACGCUUCGGAAUGCUGGGACACGGUGGUACUUCUUGAUGGGUGCAAGAUUGUCGGUCUUCUUCUCUUCGUCGAUCUGCCGCUGUCGGCAUUUGUUUCUCUUUUCUUUCUUUUGGUUUUCCUUUUGGGCUCGUUUGUGCUGCGGCCCAAGCGAGCUAGAUGUAUCAGAUGGUUGCUUUAUAAUAUAAAGCGGGGGAAAGCCUUUUAUCGUCUAUACUACAACUAUCCUCAUACGAAUGUAGAAUUAUGUAUAUGACUACUAUUCGUUAUUAAAGAAUUGCAUCUGGCAGCAAAAUAAAACAAUAAAAGACACGCCAUUACCCUGUAGCACAGAAAUUUGGGAAUGCAUGAUAAAUGGUCAUAUCCCUGGACCUGCCACCGUUGCAAAGUCUGUUAAAUGUCAUAUCCUGGACUAUAGAGACAACACAAGAUGUCCUUACAGGCAAAAUUGACAAAAAUGACCCCUGGGGGGAAAGAACUCACGGAGUGACCCCUCAGGGAAAAUAUGUCACCCGGCUAACCCUUUUGUGUGGCGCCCGACACCUAGGCGCCACACUACACUGUGUGACGCCUAGCCGUUCGGCGCCACACCCCCCGACCACCUGGCAGAGAGGGCCCACCCCCAGCCCGUGUGACGCCUAAGCCUCAGGCGUCACACAUUGUAAUGUGUGGUGCCGAGCGCUUAGGCGCCACACAGUGACUUAACAGGCACGGGCCAGCCCCCCUCCCCACCCCCUCCUCUUUCCCCUCCCCCCAGCCCCCUCUCCCAGCCACUGGCCCCUCUUCAAAUCCUUCUCUAAAUCACCAAAGCUGAAGGUUUGGACCGGGCAUUUGUUGUCCAAUCACUCCCCUAAGGUAAUCCCCACCUCUCCCCUCAUUCUCAUCCAAAGAAAAAUCUUUUGUGGUCUUUUUUUUUGCAAAUUUGAGGAAACCCUAGUUUUUAUGAAAUGUGGGAUGUAUAUGAUAUUGUUGUAUUUGUUUGUAUGUUAGGAUAAGGGGUAUGAUGGGGUUAGGAUUAGGGUUGUUUGGAUGUUUGCAUUAUGGUUGUUUUAGGGUUAGGCUAUGGUUAGGCUAGGGUUAGGGAUGUUUGGUUGUGUUAGGGUUAUGAUGGGGUUAGGGUUAUGGUUGUUUGGAAGUUAGGAUAGGGUUAUUGUAAUUGUACCGGAGGCCUGAUGUACGCAGAAAUAGAUUCGGGUGGAUCAGAUUCAUAAUUGGCGCACAUGAAAAACUUCAUGCCCAACCAAUCCGAAAAAUCCUCCACCUCCUUCACCUUGUAGAGAUCACCGCACCAACAUCGAACUGCUUCCACCCCCCGAGGCAAACUCGCACUCUUCAUUUUCUUAGGCCUGAUGCUUUGAUCCGAGCAAGGCAAACUCAUAUUGACUAAAGCGGUGGUAGUGUUCUCAAUUGAGGCUGGAUGACGGAGGAAGGCAGUCCAAUGCCUCCUUUUAUAGACCGGAAAGGAGACGUCGAAAUACUGGCGGGAACGAAGGAGGGAAAGGUGGCGGAAAGGAGACAUGGAAAUAUUGGCGGGAACGGAGGAGGGAAAGGUGGCGGGAAAGAAGACGUGGAAAUAUUGGCGGGAACGGAGGAGGGAAAGGUGGCGGGAAAGAGGACGUGGAAAUUUUGGCGGGAACGGAGGAGGGAAAGGUGACGGGAAAGGGUGUGCUCAAAAUUUUGGGGGAACGGAGGAGGGAAAGGUGGCGGGAAAGAGUGUGCUCAAAGGUUCCAGCAGGUUUUCACAUGUGUGGCGCCUAAGGCUUAGGCGCCACACAUGUGAAAACCUGCUGGAAGCUGAAUUUUGACAGCAAUACAUCAUUUUCACAGCAUAUAUUUUGACAGCAUAUAUUUUGACAGAAAUUUAAAACAUAUGUGCAACACAAACAACAGAAGUGCAACACCAACAAGUGCAAAUGAUUGUUGACAAGUGCAACAUCAACACCAACACAAGUUCACAACUCCUAAUGGUUCACAACACCAAGUAAAUGGUUCACAACUCCAAAUGGUUCACAACAAAAGUAAAAUGGUUCACAACACAAGUGCAACACCAACAAGUGCAAAUGAUUGAAAACUACAAAUGGCUCCGGUUCACAUCUUGGCGCCUCGUCCCCUCUUAGAAACUAGCUUCUUUCUUCUCGAAACUACAAAUUGCUCCGGGUCAUCCGACUCAUCAUCAUCGUCAUCCUCAUCCUCAUCGUCCAUGCUUCUCAUCCUUGACAAACGAGAGCCCCCGGCGACCGGGUUCUUUCCUUUCGCAUAAUCAUCUGGUGAGUACCGCCUAAAUUCCUUCCUAGGCUUCAACAUGUAAGCGGAGCGUUGGAAAGCCUUCAACGUCAUCCCGUCCGCAACCUAAUACAUAUGAAGGUUGAAAGUUCAAAGUUGAAGGUUGAAAGUGCACAAUGUUUUAUGGCUAUGUCAUACCUCAAGAGUGUCAACAUCAUCCUCUACAGUAUUUCUUUGGGUAUUAGCUGCCGAGGUAAUGUCAACAUCGUCCAUACGAGCGCCCGAAGAAGCUGAAUCAUCUAGAGUAUUUCUUUCGGAUGAACCGGAUCUCGAAGGUGAAACAUAUUCAGGGUCACGACAACCUAAAAUGUUGGAUAUGCGCCGUAACUUCUUGCCCUGUUCCUGUUAGAUUCAAAUAUAAAUGACAUAUAUAAGGUACCGUAUGUUGCAUUCGUGGGCAAAAUAAUAAUAAUGACACGACACCUUUAUGAAAAGACGAAGUGCAGAUUCUCCAUUUUUUCCUCCAGGUGUCUUCUCUAGAAUAUCUUCGGACUCAUCAGCUUGUUUCUUGACCUCUUUGCGCUAUGAUCACAAGACAAUGACAUGCAAGUGAAUAGGUGUACUAGCAUUCAUACUUAACAUAGGUGAGCACAAUUACCACAAAGUUCAGGACAGGGGCGAAGAAAGUUUGGUACCCUUCGCGAAUUAACUUGUUGUAAUCGCCUUGGGCAAGUGCAUCGUACUCGGUGGGUUCUUCCAAUAUGUCCUCCUCGUAAGCCGGCGGACAAAUCUCGACAUGAGUACUCUCCUGAAACCAUCUUAGGUAGUUGUUGAACGCAAGCGGACAAUAAUGUUGGCGGUGCUGGGUUCGUUGCGCACUCGAAGCUGCCUGCACACUUUGCUCGAACAUAAUGACAUAGUUCUGAUGAUG
rnacentral:lncRNA from 1 species